AUGGAUGUUGUAUUGCAGCAACACAACAUAGCGCAUGGAAGAUCACAAGUUUUGCAACAAAGUACUUACCAGCUGUUGCAAGAAUUGUGUUGUCAGCACCUAUGGCAGAUCCCUGAGCAGUCGCAGUGUCAGGCCAUCCAAAAUGUUGUUCAUGCUAUUAUUCUGCAUCAACAACAAAAACAACAACAACAACCAUCGAGCCAGGUGUCCUUCCAACAGCCUCUGCAACAAUAUCCAUUAGGCCAGGGCUCCUUCCGGCCAUCUCAGCAAAACCCACAGGACCAGGGCUCUGUCCAGCCUCAACAACUGCCCCAGUUCGAGGAAAUAAGGAACCUAGCGCUACAGAUGCUACCUGCAAUGUGCAAUGUCUACAUCCCUCCAUAUUGCACAAUCGCGCCAUUUGGCAUCUUCGGUACUAACUGAGAAGAAAAUAACUCUAGUACUAGAUAUAUGAAACACCGUUUUCUCAGUCCAUGGUUUGGUCAUUGUAGCGUCGAAAAAAUAAUGUGACAUGCACUAUCAUAUAAGAAUCCGAACUAUACUAGUUCAAACUUGGGAAUAAAAGACAAACACAUGUCUUGUCUACAUAUUUAUGUUGCAUCUAUUUAUAUAUUAAAAGUAAUAUAAGGUGAACCAGGAGCAAGGUAAAUAUGCUAGAAAAUUGCACGUUAAUUAGAAAUUACUUGCCCUCGAUCUGGUAAAUCUUAACAAAUAGAAUUAUCUUGACCGUUAGAUUUAUAUAACAUAUAUAAUGCUCUGGGCCUCCAACGACUGUACGUGACACAUCUGAACGAACAUAUGGUAAAGAAAAUAUAUUUGGUAAAUGGUGGGCCUGUUUAAAAAGAGAACUCACGUACAUGCACCAACUAAGAAAAACACAUACAUGUAAACGGGAAAAGGAUGAGAUUUUCUCACGUACGUGCUCCCUGGCUCCACCCCGUUGAAAAAAUAUACAUCUGGAGGCCACUUUGUUUCCUCAUCAAAAAAACUUACGUUAAAAAGAUUGCAUGCAUCCCAGGGAAAAUAGUCAAGAAGAAGUCGGACUUUUCCUUACAAAAACAAGGAACGUGUUAAGUUGACUUCAAAGAAAAAAGGAACAUGUUAAGUUAAAAAAAAACAAGAAACCUGUUAAGUUAGAAAAAAACAAGGAACGUGUUGUCCAAGGAAAGAUAUGUGUCAAAUCUUACAAAAAAAAAGAAUACACACACGUACGUUCAUGCACUUGGAAAAUAGAAAAAAAGGAACAUCACGUAUGUAUACACUUCGGAAACUCAUUACAUGACCAUGUCUGAUAUACUCCUCUAAUGCUUAAUAUUAGUGCCUAAUAAUUUAUAUUUAAAAUUUAAUUUACUGAUCAAAUAUCCCCACUGUUUAAAUUUUAAUUUGGCACAUUGUUUGGCUAUAGUAUGAACCUGAAUUUCCUCUUAUUAUUAUAUAUCAUGGUAAUAAUCCAAAGGCGACUAAUCUGCACCGGCGCACCGGCGCAAUCAAUUCGGCUGGACACAGCGCGGCCGUUUGAUUAGAUUGCAUUUAACCAUCAGAUCUGGAAUCGUUUUCUUUCCAAUUAAACGGAUUCAACCAAACAGCAGAGGGGAAAACAAAGCAGCGCCGCCGCCAACACUAGCCAUGGACGACCGAUGUAGCAAAACCUUGAAGAACCGCCGCCGGUCGCCACCCUCGCCUCUGGUCGCUGCCCUCGCCGUCGGUCACCGCCGGUCGCCGCCCUCGCCGCCUGCGUUUCUCAUCGGCUUCAUGCAUGCAACAACAUGCACUCGUGGUUGCAGGCUUGCAUCUCCGGCUCCGGGGACAUGGCCGCAUCUCCGGUAGCGCCGGCCGCCGGCCGCAGCACCUGUCGUUGUGGUCGCGCUGUACCUCGCCGUGUGCCCUCCCGAGGCUCUUGCUGGUUCCAACAAAAAACGAUACCUGUUGUAGCAAAAAAGUAUCGCUUCCAGCAAAAAAGCUUACCGCUACAGCCCGCCAUCGUCAUUGUAGCAAAAAUGUUAACCCGAUGUAGCUUCUGUGGUUGCCGACUGCAGCAAAAAAUGACAUGGCUGUAGCAAAACACAAAAGAAAAACACUGGCCGGCCGCUGUGUAUGGUGGUAACAAACCCUAUAGCCGGUGGUAGCGAAAAACUUCAUAGUGUGCUGCAAAAAAAUGUUGUCACCCGUCGUCGAGGUUGCAUCAUCUUCAUGAAUUAUGCCGCAAAAAAACGUUGUCGCCGGUAGUAGCAAAUGAAGCCGCCGGUAGUAGCAAAACAAGACACUGGUUCCAGCCAAAAAAAAAAUCAGCGACAGAACCUUUGGUUGGUUCCAACAAAAAAACUUGUCGGUUGUAACAUCCCUCGCCGCCGGAUGUAGCAUCUCCCGGGGCUGGUUGCAACACUCCAUAAAAAAAGUUGUCUAUGAGCGCAUCCAUGGUGACUGCUGCACCGUCAGCAAUGAGGGGAAGAGGAGGCAAUGAAAAUCAUUCGAGUCAUAGCUCCACAGGACGCGGCUGCAGCAUGGGGAGUCCAAAAAUCUGUCACAAGCAACAUGCGCCGCGCCAUCCUCCUGCGCAGGAGAGAGAAGAAAAAGGAAUAAGAGGAAGAAGAAAGGAAACAGGAGAAAGAAAAAAGAAAGGAUUGGUGGUUGGCUCAGGCAAUUAGUCAAGCGAGGGGCACGCGGGGCCGCAGGACACAGCGCAAUCGAACGAAGCGCGCGCGUCCGGGCGAAGACUCGGCCGGACUGCCGUCUGGAAACGUUUCCCUAAUCCAAAGGCUUUAUCUGAAUGACAAGUCGUCUGGGUUACCGGCUAACUAGAAAAAAGAUAAAUAUGCUAGAGAAUUCCAUAAUAAUUAGAAAUAUCUAGCCUUUAAUUAUGUAAACCAGAAAAUCACAACCGUUGGAUUUACUUUAAAGGUAAAUUUCUAUAAAUUCCCACCAUUGCCAGUAUGUAGAAACAUGUGCUGCUUCAAUUCUCCCAUAAUCACCAAUCAAUCAACAACACAAAACAUACCUCAGUUAAAAAAACUGAACAAAAAAAAGAAAAAAAGAAGAAAGGACAAGAUACACGCAUGUACACGACAGCCUUGGCUUGAAACACAUCAGUAGAUCAAGUGUCCGCCUCCCUUACACGUACGUCCCAUGAGGUUUACUAGCCUACCGCCGCCGCAUCAUGCCAUCCUCUCCUUUCAGCUCCCAUGCUCUCCAGCACCCUCAUUGCGGCGCCACUACUCGCCUAGGGAUAUUGCUGCUCAGACCGUGGAGCUUAACCACAUCAGCAUCAGCACGUAUGGGCCUCAUUAUACUGCAGCACGUAUUGCGCCCCCUUAAGUCCAGGUCUGUUUGCUGGCACAUAUGCUUUGGAAAUAGGCCACUAUGUUUGUACUUCAAAAUUGUUUCUGUAUUCUUGAGUGGUACAUCCUUUUAAGCGCCAGUUUUUUAUGUUAAUUCAUGCUGACAACACUUAACCUAGCCUUUCAUGUUCACGUACUAAAUACAGGAGCAAGUAAAAACAACAGACCACCUAAUUGCUCUGCAUGUACUACAUAGGAAAAUUUGUCAUGUUCUACGAUCGCACCAUCCCACCCUUCUCUCUUGGUAUGGGCGCCAAUUGAGGGAUUGAUAAAACUGAAACGAAGACGUCACAGGGCUGGAAGUACCGCUAGCCUGGUUUGCACUGCAACCUACCCAACGCCAUCAGAAACUAGCAACUGAGUCAGGUGUUGAUCGAUUCUCUCAAAUUGCUCUCAUGUAAGUACUACCCCUUGCAUGUGCGUACAUACCUUUGUUGCAUUCUCAAACAGAUAGAACAUGUUUGAUCGGUGCAUGGCUAUUUUUCAUCACAUGACAUCCAGAUAACAAGCAUGAAAGGACUACAUUGGAGAUCAAAAAAUAUUGGUUCCUGGCUAGAGUACCACUACCUAUGGACUUGUCUCCAUAGAAUUUGUUCCCAAGAUGUUAUUUUAAUUAAUCUCUUUAGCUUUCUUCCAUUGCAAACGGUGAUGUGCAUCAUGGUAUAUACGUGACCAUCUUGCACAUGUAUACACAAGAGGCUCAGAUGGAGGUGCUGGAUUCUGGACGAGGGAAUAUGAAGCAGGAGUGAGCGAAGAGUAAAUAAUGGUGGGAGUACCGAUUGGUGUUAUGAAGAAAAAUGCCAUCCAAAGAUUGAUUAGUGUCAUGGAAGAUUAAUUUCUGAAUGCGAAUAUAUAUGUUACAUUGGUUUGGAUCUUUUUGAGAUAAUUCCACCUAAAUUAGGUUCUUUCUUAUUUCAUAUGUAUACCUUAUUUCAGUAAAAGUUCACAACGAACUUAGUAGGACAAAUAUAAUUUUGUUUGUUCUUUCUGUUGUCCGCCACCAAAGCUCAAUUUGAACUCUCUAGAAAUGGACAAUGAUUUAUGCAUUCUAUAUCUUCUUGAUUGAUUAGCCAUGACAAGGAAAUAAAAGGAUUGACUGAUAUAGCAUAACUUUGGAACGAUUAGAGGUUACUACAAAUAAGAGUAGUGUCUGUUGGAAUUUUGCUAGUAGGCCUUUGGCCCAAAGCCCAACUAAAAUUCUGAAAUUCUCUUGGCUCAUUUAUGCACACAUGUGAGUUGAGUGAGUGAGACUAAAGUUUAGUCCCACCCUGGAAGUUGAGAGAGAGUUGCACCUCUUUAUAAGGUGAGCUCUUCUACCACUUGUAUGAGCAUGAGAAGAGGAGACCUACACGCGCGCUCCUCCUCCACGCUCGCCACGCCUCGUCGCGCCGCGCCGUGCCGCGGGUUGCGGGAUUGAGCCGAGCCGAGGACGUUUUCUAUAUUUUUGCUGCUCGGGAAAAAUUAAUGAGUCAUUAAUUAAUAAUUAAUGGACACAUUAAUUACUGAACCGUUUCCGAUUUUUUUGGAUCGUGACGACUCGGACGUGGGGUUUACUCCCAGGACCUACCCGGCCCGCACUAUAUAGUCAGGAAGACGUCUACCCUAGCCGCCGCCGCUUCGUAUGGUUUCUCACCAUCGUUACAGAUCAUUGCGCCGCCAAGCAAGUUUUCUCCAUCCCUCCUUUCGGCGUGCACCGGGAGAAGGGACAGCAGACCUCCGGAACCCCGCCUCUCGUGAUCCUAUACGGGAGAGGGGCGAUCAGGUUUUUGGGGAGCGCACUCGCAUGACUGCUGGCAGCGACGACUUCGCAAACGACGACUUCUUCCCCGACCUCGGCAACCUCAUCCUCGACGACAUGGGCGACAACGUCAACGCCGGCGGUGCUACACCCACUGCACCGUAUGUUAUUCUCUCCUUCUUGUUCGAGAUCAUGGUAGAAUUCAUGUUUCUAGUAUAUGUGCCCUAGAUGUGAUCUGUUCAUCUACUAUGGUAGUUCGCAUGAUUAGUUUAAUCUCUGUUAUUGCUGUCAUGAUCUAUUUCCUAUUUAUUCGGAUUAAAUCUCGUAGUAAUUUUCUCAUUUUUCCAACAAUCCAAAAACCUGAUUAUAGGAAAUUUACUCCGAGUGGUUUUGCUGCGCAUCUGAAAGCCGCUUGCCUUUAAGGGGGCGCAAUAUAAGAGGUGGCGCACCAGAGCAGUCUACUGGUUUCAGAUCAUGGGCUGCUAUGACGCCACCAAGGGCAAGCCUGAGGGCGAUCUUAAUCCAGCACAGCUGGAAGCUUUCAAGAAGAUCAAUACCCUCUUUAAAGGCACGCUUCUGAGUGUUCUUGAUGACUCCAUUGUAGAUUCGUAUAUGUCGUUUGACAAUGGCAAGAACAUGUGGGCUACGCUCGAGGCCAAGUUUGGUGCCUCGGACGCCGGCAGCGAGUUGUACGUCAUGGAGCAAUUCUAUGACUCCAAGAUGACUGAUGGGCGCCCUGUUGUACAGCAGGCUCAUGAGAUACAGUUGCUCGCAAAAGAACUUGAGUACUUCAAGUGUGUGUUGGCGAACAAAUUUGUUGCCGGAGGCAUCAUUGCCAAGCUUCCACCUUCGUGGAACAAUUUUGCUACUUCCCUGAAACACAAGAGACAGGAGUUUUUCGUUGCGGAUCUCAUUGGUACUCUUGAUGUUGAAGAGAAGGCGAGAGCAAAGGAUACACGUGCUUGAGUUGCUAAGGGAGGUUCUAGUGCCCACAUGGUACAGAAGAAGAACUUCCAGCCCAACAAGUUCAAAAACAACAAGAACAAAACUUAGGGCAAAGGCAAGUUCGAUACAAAGAACAAGCCAUCACAUUCUACCAACUUCAAGAAGAACUCUCAUAAGAAGGGGAAGGGACUUUGCCAUGUCUAUGGUGAUCCUAAUCACUGGGCUCCGAAGUGUCCCAACCGCUUUGAGGAGCGCGAACAUGAGAAGAGCGGCAAGUCUGCUAAUGUUGUCAUCGGUGAUACUGAUAUGAAGGAAUCAGGGUACGGUAUUUUUCCUACCAUCCUUUCAGUAUUCCAAACCCCUGACUGGUUAAUUGACACCGGUGCCAAUGUACAUGUUUGUGCUGAUGCCUCCAUGUUUUCUUCUUACCAGGCCACUGGGACUUCUCCUAUGCUGAUGGGGAACGGGUCACAUGCCAUCGUUCGAGGUGUUGGUACGGUCGAUCUGAAGUUUACUUCGGGGAAGACCGUGCGUCUGAAGAACGUUCAUCAUGUGCCGUCCAUCAAUAAAAAUCUCGUUAGCGGUUCCCGUUUAUGUCGAGAUGGUUUUAAGUUGGUUUUCGAAUCCAAUAAAGUUAUAAUUUCUAAGUAUGGACAAUUUGUUGGAAAAGGCUAUGAGAGCGGAGGCUUGUUUCGCCUGUCUUUGUCAGAUAUUUGCACUAAAGUUAUUAAUAAUGUUUGCCACAACAAUGAGUCUGAUAUUUGGCAUUCACGACUUUGUCACAUUAACUUUGGUUGCAUGACGCGGCUAGCCAAUAUGAAUUUAAUUCCGAAAAUCUCUACUGUCAAAGGAUCUAAGUGCCAAGUAUGUGUGCAAGGUAAGCAACCUCGCAAGUCCCAUAAGACUGCAGAGGCAACAGACUUGGCGCCACUAGAGCUUAUACAUUCUGAUAUUUGUGAGAUGAAUGACGUGUUGACAAAAGGUGGAAAGAGAUACCUCAUGACGUUGAUUGAUGACUCCACUAGAUAUUGUUAUGUGUAUCUUAUGAAAUCAAAAGAUGAGGCUUUGGCUUUCUUCAAAAACUAUAGAGCUGAGGCAGAGAACCAACUUGAUCGAAAAAUUAAACGGCUUAGGUCCGAUCAUGGUGGAGAGUAUUUUUCCAAUGAAUUUGAUCUAUUUUGUGCGGAACAUGGUAUAAUCCAUGAGAGGAUGCCUCCCUACUCACCCCAGUCAGAUGGGGUAGCCGAAAGAAAGAACCAAACUCUAACUGAUAUGGUUAACACCAUGUUAGACACUUCGGGUCUAUCCAAGGAAUGGUGGGGGGAGGCGCUAAUGACUGCGUGUCAUGUCCUAAACCGAGUUCCCACAAAGCAUAAGACCAUGACUCCAUUUGAGGAAUGUUAAAGGAAAAGGUUGAAACUCUCUUACCUACGUACUUGGGGUUGUUUGGCGAAAGUCAAUAUACCAAUUCCCAAGAAGCGCAAGCUUGGACCAAAAAUCGUGGGUUGUGUUCUUCUUGGCUAUGCUUUUCAUAGCAUCGGCUAUAGAUUUUUGAUAAUAAAAUCUGAGGUAUCCGACAUGCAUGUUGGUACGAUUAUGGAGUCGAAUGAUGCAACUUUUUUUGAGGACAUAUUUCCUAUGAAGGAUAUGUCGAGUUCAUCAAAUCAGGAGACACCUACUCCAUCUAGUGAGGAAUUCAUUGUAAUUCCUGAACCCACCAUUGCGAUGGAACACAUUGAGAAUCCUGUUGAGGGUGACAAUGGAACUCUUGUGAGGAGUAAGAGACAUAGGACUACAAAGUCCUUUGGUGAUGAUUUCAUUGUGUACCUCGUGGAUGACACACCCAGGACUAUUUCAGAAGCCUGUGCAUCUCUUGAUGCUGACUACUGGAAGGAAGCUGUACGUAGCGAGAUGGAUUCCAUCUUAGGUAACGGAACCUGGGAGAUCACUGACCGUCCUUAUGGGUGAAAACCUGUAGGAUGUAAGUGGGUGUUCAAGAAGAAGCUUAGACCUGAUGGUACGAUUGAAAUGUACAAGGCACGGCUUGUGGCCAAGGGUUAUACCCUGAAAGAAGGUGUAGACUUCUUUGAUACUUACUCACCCGUGGCUAGACUGACCACAAUUGGGUGCUACUAUCACUUGUUGCCUCACAUGGUCUUCUCGUUCAUCAAAUGGACGUUAAGAACGCUUUCCUCAAUGGAGAGUUGAAGGAGGAAAUUUACAUGGAUCAGCCAGAUGGUUUUGUAGUACCUGGUUAGUAAGGAAAGGUGUGCAAGUUAUUAAAGUAUUUAUAUGGCCUUAAACAAGCUCCUAAAGAGUGGCAUGAGUAGUUUGAAAGAACAUUAACUGCUACCGGCUUUGUAGUAAACGAUGGUGACAAGUGCGUGUACUAUCGCUAUGGUGGGGGCGAAGGAGUUAUUCUUUGUUUGUAUGUCGACGACAUAUUGAUCUUUCGAACCAAACUUGAUUUAAUCAAGGAGGUUAAGGAUUUCUUAUCUCGCUGUUUUGAGAUGAAGGAUCUAGGAGUAGCUGAUGUUAUCUUAAACAUCAAGCUGUUGAGAGAUGAGAAUGGUGGGAUCACACUGCUUCAGUCACACUAUGUGGAAAAGGUCUUGAAUCGUUUUGGGUAUAGCGACUGCACACCUUCUCCAACCCCAUAUGAUGCUAGCAUGUUGCAUCGAAAGAAUCGACGGAUUGCUAGAGAUCAACUGAGGUAUUCUCAUAUUAUUGGCUCGCUUAUGUAUUUGGCGAGUGCCACGAGGCCAAACAUCUCGUUUGCUGUUAGCAAGCUGAGUCGGUUUGUGUCAAAACCAGGAGAUGAUCAUUGGCAUGCACUUGAGAGAGUUAUGUGCUAUUUGAAAGGCACCGCGAGCUAUGGGAUUCACUACACCGGGUAUCCAAGAGUACUGGAGGGUUAUAGUGACUCAAACUGGAUAUCUGAUGCUAAUGAGAUUAAGGCCACAAGUGGUUAUGUUUUUACACUUGGUGGUGGCGCUGUUUCUUGGAAGUCCUGCAAGCAGACCAUCUUAAUGAGGUCAACUAUGGAAGCAGAACUCACAACAUUAGAAACUGCCACUGUUCAAGCAGUGUGGCUUCAUGAGCUCUUGAUGGACUUUCCUAUGAUUGAAGAACCAAUACCCCCUAUCCCAAUGAACUGUGAUAAUCAAACUAUGAUCGUCAAGAUAAAUAGUUCUAAGGACAAUAUGAAGUCCUCAAGGCAUGUGAAGAGGAGACUGAAAUCUGUCAGAAAAUUGAGGAACUCCGGAGUUAUUACGUUGGAUUAUAUCCAAACGUCAAAAAAAUUGGCAGAUCCCUUCACAAAGGGUCUAUCACGUAAUGUGAUAGAUAAUGCAUCGAUGGAGAUGGGUCUGAGACCCACCGCAUGAGUUGUCCAUAGUGGUAACCCACUCUUUGUGAUCGGAUAUCCCGUGAAGUAUAAGUGGGAGACAAGCUGUUGGUCAGCUGGGAGGAGAGUAUCCCUAUAUUACCUGUCCCACUCCAUGAAGAUGCAAUACUCUCCUAAUCUGCAUGGCAGGUUGAUACUUAUCUUAAUGUGUUCCAAGUGGCUUAUUCGGGUAAGCAGAGAUGUUGUCCUGCAGAACAUCUUCUGAGGAACACACCUAUAUGAAUUUGACUGUUAACGUCGCAGUCUGUGAGAAUUGGGUGUUCUCUAAUAAAUUCAUGAAAAGGCCCUGGAGUAUGACGUAUACGCUCCACCCGCAGGGAAGCCUUGCGGCAGCCCAGUAUCGGUCAAGAAUUUGUGUGAAACUAGUUGCGCAGAAAAUUUGUAGUUCAAGGCAUAGUCCACUAUUCAAGUUGUGAUCUAGUGUAGCAUAAAUCUCUAAGUGGAAGUUCAACUUCACAGUCUCCACUAAGCCCCGGUAUAUAAACAAUGUUUUGGAACUAAAUGAUGAGAUGUGCCAAUGAGACUUUGUGGGGGAUUGUUGGAAUUUUGCUAGUAGGCCUUUGGCCCAAAGCCCAACUAAAAUUCUGAAAUUGUCUUGGCCCAUUCAUGCACACAUGUGAGUGGAGUGAGUGAGACUAAAGUUUAGUCCCACCCCGGAAGUUGAGAGAGAGCACCUCUUUAUAAGGUGAGCUCUUCUACCACUUGUAUGAGCAUGAGAAUAGGAGACCUACACACGCGCUCCUCCUCCUCGCUCGCCACGCCACCCCUCGUCACGACGCGCCGCGGGUUGCGGGAUUGAGCCGAGCCGAGGACAGAGCUAUGCACAUUGUCUAUUUUUUGCUACCCGAAAAAAUUAAUGAGUCAUUAAUUAAUAAUUAAUGGACACGUUAAUUACUAAACCGUUUUCGAUUCUUUUGGAUCAUGAAGACUCGGACAUGGGGUUUACUCCCACGACCUACCGGGCCCGCAUUAUAUAGUCCGGCAGACGUCUACCCUAGCUGCCGCCGCUUCAUAUGGUUUCUUACCACCGUUCCAGAUCAUUGCGCCGCCAAGCAAGUCUUCUCCAUCCGUCCCUUCGGCGUGCAUCGGGAGAAGGGACAACAGGCCUCCGGAACCCCGCCUCUCGUGAUCCUGUACGGGAGAGGGGCGAUCAGGUUUUUGGGGAGCGCACUCGCGCGACUGCUGGCAGCGACGACUUCGCGAAUGACGACUUUUUCCCUGACCUCGGCAACCUCAUCCUCGACGACAUGGGCGACAACGUCAACGCCGGCGGUGCUGCACCCGCUGCACCUUAUGUUAUUCUAUCCUUCUUGUUCGAGAUCAUGGUAGAAUUCACGUUUCUAGUAUAUGCCCUAGAUGUGAUCUGUUCAUCUACUAUGCUAGUUCGCAUGAUUAGUUUAAUAUCUGCUAUUGCUGUCAUGAUCUAUUUCCUAUUUAUUCGGAUUAAAUCUCGUAGUAAUUUGCUCAUUUUUCCAAUAGUACCAUCUAAUAGAUGAUGUAAAUCUCCUCUAGUUUGACGUUGUUGAGCUAAUUUACAAAAAAAACCUCAUCAUUAUUGGACGUCCUUAACAGCUCAAGAACAAGUUGGGGUCGAACUAAUGGAUUUUACACUUUUACAUUAAAGGUUUAGCUAAAGCUAGCAGGUGUUUUUAAACCUGAAUUUUUUUCCUCCUGAAUUUCUUUGUAUUUUCUUAUUGACACUAUUUAUACAAUCAUCUGACAAAGAUUAGCUAAAGCUGUUUGUAGAUACGUUGAAACCUGAAAAGCUUCUUUGGUUAUCCUUUUAAUAGUUCUACGUUUAUUUUCUCAUAGGUCAUAAUUCUUAUGUAAUACCAAGAUGCAUUGUGGUAGUGUACAUGUGUUAAAUUCAGGUUGUUAUUCACAAUUUGCGACAAAAUUUAGCUCACGCUACAUUCAAAUAUGUUGAAAUGUGAAAGCUUUUUUUUCUUCUCCUUUCUACACCUUGCAUCGGAUUGCAUCCCUUUAGUUAUCCAACAUUUUGUACAACAUGUAGAGAUUAGGAAGUUCAUCAUAGUUUGUUUAUUUCGGUGCUAAUAAAUGUAUGAAAUCUGCAUUUCCAAGCUACUAGGACAAGUAAAAAAUAAUAAUUUUACUAUAGGAUUCAAAAACAGCAGUUCUGAAGUGCACUUUAUUUAUUUUUGAAAGUGAUCACAUUUUGUUUCAUUUUUCUAUAGACAAAUCUACUAAUACAUACUCACGAUAAAACUAUAAAAGUUCUAGUCCGCACAUUGGGCGGGCCACCCGGCUAGUUAGUCUAAAGAUAACAAAAUGAGUCUGGAAUUUGAAUUAAAUUGAAGUAUUUUCUUGGACUUUCAAAUUGAGUUUUAUUAAAGUAGUAAGGACUAUCCACAUCCUUGGCUUGCCCCUGAUCAAUUAUUUCCAGAGAAGCAUUCAAUUCAUCAAUCAAUUACAUUGAUUUUAGUGGCUGGUACUUCUCCUCAACAUCAGUAUAUUCACCGUGGCCACUCCAAAUCGGCAAGAAUGAGGUACCAGUGCUCUGGAGCAGUGCAAGCUAAUUGCUUCUCAUCUGAAGGGGUGCGGCCGCAGGAGAGGUAUUUCUGGUGGGCCAAGGGACUAAGAAGCGACUGUGGCAGCGGUAUAGACGCCCGCAAAGCCCCAUAAUUUGUUUUUGGUUUACAGGAAAAAUGCACAUCCAUACCAGCCUGGGGAAUAUAGGACCGUAUUGGAUGGAAAACCAUGUCCGGAUGGUUGCGAGCGGUUUAAGGGUUAGCUUUUGUAACGCCCGGUUAGUUAUGCUAUAGCAAUUCCCUGCUAAUGAUGUCACGUUACCACGAUUACUGUUGUUAACCUCACAAUGAUUCAAUCCCCUUCAAAUUGAAAUUUAAAAUAAAGGCAAACAUCAAAAGUUUUCAAAUAUUAAAACUAAAAUCUUUGAGAGGUGACAAAUAAUGCAUAAGUAAUUAUGGUGGAGAAACCACACUUUAAUCAAAUGUUUAAAUACUCUAAAAUGAAAAAAAACAGUUGCUUAAACUAUUAUUUAAAUGCUUUUAAAAUAGUAAAAAUCUUCUAACUAAAUUAUUUGGGUACCAAACUUUUGGUGGCAGUGGUAUAUUUAGUACAACUAAUUUAGAUGCUAAUUAUAUAAAAAGGAAAAGCAAAAGGGGGCAACCCCUCGCUGGGCCUCGGCCUAGCUGCCACUAGGCUAGCUAGGCUGGCCCCGCCGCCUCCCUUAACCCCCCCCCCCCACUCCCCAUCGAACCCAAGCCCGAUCGCCCCACUUCCCCCANNNNNNNNNNNNNNNNNNNNNNNNNNNNNNNNNNNNNNNNNNNNNNNNNNNNNNNNNNNNNNNNNNNNNNNNNNNNNNNNNNNNNNNNNNNNNNNNNNNNNNNNNNNNNNNNNNNNNNNNNNNNNNNNNNNNNNNNNNNNNNNNNNNNNNNNNNNNNNNNNNNNNNNNNNNNNNNNNNNNNNNNNNNNNNNNNNNNNNNNNNNNNNNNNNNNNNNNNNNNNNNNNNNNNNNNNNNNNNNNNNNNNNNNNNNNNNNNNNNNNNNNNNNNNNNNUUGAUCCCAUCUGGAUCGGGGAGGGUAAUGCCCCAAUCGACCCCGUUGCCGUCGCGGGAUUGCCCGCCGACGUCGCCAGGCCUCCUCCCCGCCACCCGUCUCCGGCUCGCCUCCCCUCUCGCUCCUCUUCCCCGACCCGAUCUGGAUCGUGAACGAGCAAUGAGCUCGAAGCCCCCUUCACCGGCGCCAUCACCGUGCGCCACCACCACCGCCUGAAGACCUCACCGUCGCCGAACCUUGCGUCGCCUCCUCGUAUCCCUCCCCUACUCGCGUCCUCAAGCCAGGCCGAGCCCCUUCUCGGCAACGCCGUGAGACGCCCCCGUCUCCCUCCUCUUUCCACUGCGUUCACCGCGCCGCCCGCCGUGCCCCUCGCCGUGCGCACGCCCACCACCGCACCAGCCCCCGCUCCGCGCACGACCCUACCCGCGUCCGCGCCAUGAUCCCCUUUUCCACCCUACCUUCCUGCGCUCGCCGCGGUCCUGAUGCUCCCCCGCGCCCUCUUUUGGGGGCGCCGACUGCCCCUGUCCCACUGCUCGCCGCCGUGCCUCGCCAUCGCUCUACUGCUAAGUUAUUGCUGCGCUGCGGCCGUCGCCUCUUCCCGCUGCUCCGCCAGCGCCGAAGCUCCCGAUUGGCUCCACCACUUCUCACGUUAAACCGCCGGCCUAAAUGGCCUAACCCCCGGCUAAUGAACCCCCACUAUCCCACUGACACCGGGACCCACAUUCCCUAAUUAACCAUUUAAUAAAUUAAAACUCUUAAAUUAACAUUAGUGUAUGACAUGUGCGUCCCCUAUUAAUUUAUAAUUUUACUGCUAGUUUUAUUAGUUUCUGUUUUUUCUGCAUAUUUCUUUUGUAUUUGAACAGGCUUUAUAUAAUAAUAUUUAGCGUCUCAUACACAUAUAAAUGUAAUUAUAGCAUAUACAUACAAAUAGUCUCAUCAAAUCAUGUCAUCACCAUAAUCAUCAUCCAUCACAAAGUGAUCUCUCGUCAUCAUCUCGAAAAUAGCAAUACAAGUCUCGAUUACUUGCAACUACAUCGUCAUCCAUCUAAACAAUGAUAUACGCGAGAAGCGCUAUCACUAUGAGUGAGAGCGGAACUAUGCAGUACAUGAGUUUGUAUCCCUCUCUCACAUUAGCGUGAACCUAAACUAACUACUGGCUGUUGCUCGGAAACCGGAAACCGGUACACCUGGGCCUGACACUCCGGCCACUCGUCGUAUACUCCUGGCGUAGCACUUCUUCGCCAUCGAUGAUCUAUAAACCUACAUCGUCAGAUGAGUCGAUGAUAUGCAACAUAUAUAGUUGAGCAACAGAAAGAGACAGACUUGGCAAAAAUAGAAGCAACAUAUCAUAAGCAUAAAUAACAAAGUUCAUCGUACGCAAAAUGCCCUAACUAGAGUGAUCUUCGCUAGUCGAGGAGGACGGUUUAAUUACAUCACAAAUAAUUUUUCGUCGUGCAUAACUCAAAGUUCCGUCAUACAGAAAGUAUGAACUAAAUGGACACAUUGUCAUAUUUCAAAAAUCACUCCCACAUGUCGUGCCAUCCAUCCAAGUCAAGGAGAUAGUGCCCGAGCUUAGUGAAAGGCUUUAGGUCGAGACGCUGAGCGGCUAUGCGUGUUCGGACGUCUUCCCACGACAUUUGUCCUUCUUCAUAGAACAUCCCUGUUUUUUCGACGACCUCCUUCAUCACUGGAAGAAAAAGGGCCUGUUGUCCCGGUUCUGGAACCGGGACUAAAGGGUCGGUACUAAUGCCCUGUCCCUUUAGUCCCGGUUCAAUCCAGAACCAGGACAGUUGGGCCUCCACGUGGCCUGUGCGCGGAGCCUAGGCGGGAGACCCUUUGGUCCAAUAAGCAUCCACGCAUCAGCAUUUAUGUGGUUGGGGUUUUUGUUUUUUUUGAAGGGGGGGGCAUUGGGGGUUUUGGGGGGUUAAUUUUGGUGUUUCAUAUAUUGUGUUAGCUAGCUAUAAUUAAUAGAGAGAAUUGUCCUCUCUUAUGUCCGUGCUUGCUCGACGCUACGUACUAUACAUACGUAUAGAGAGGACUAGACACGGUAGCUAGCUAGUAAGCAAACGAAGGAAAUAGAAGAUCGUCAUGAACAUAUAUGCAUACAGAGAGAAGUAAUAUCGACCACCUCUCCUUCUCCGAGAGAUUGGUCGAACAACAAGUUCUCAUAUAUCUAUCCGACACUACCGGCUACAUAUAUACAAUAAUUAUCUCUUACAAAUAUAAUCAUACGGAUUCAGGGUCCACAUAGUAUUCUCUGUCUUCAAGGAUCACGUGGUCAAGAAAGAAUGCCGCCAAUUCCUCUUGAAUUGCUCGCAUGCGAGCUGGUGCUAGGAGUUCAUCCCGCUUCCGAAACAUCUAAUUUAAAGAAGGGGGUUAAUACAUAUAUACAUAUAUAUAUAUAUAUAUAUAUAUAUAUAUAUAUAUAUAUAUAUAUAUGAAUGAAUGAAACUCAACACGAAUGAUGGUAAUAAAAUAAAAUUGUGAAUGUUGUUAUUUACGUACUUCAUAUUGUUCGUCAGUGUAGCCCCGCUCAUAGGUCGUGUGGCGGAUGGACUCGCAAACGUAGUAUCCACAGAAAUCAUUCCUUUGUUCCUGCCACAACCACUUUAUAAGAAAUAGAGGUCAAUCAAACUGAUAAGCAAGAAUGCCAAAUGGUAUUGAUGAAACUUGUCAGGACCCCGAUUCCAAGCCACAUCGAUCUAGCCGGUAACACCUCAUAUCACUUUGCGGCCUCACGCACGAUAUUCCACGGGUGUCGCCUUACCAUGGCCCGGGACCGUUUGCGCCUUUUGGCUCACGUAUAUGAUAGUGUUGCUAGCAUCCAUAUGACAGAGAACCCGGGCCGACAUGGCUAGUCGUGAACCCAAAGUGGCACAGACCUAUGGAGACAGGCAUACAUGAAUCACAUCGAGCAUGUCGGUCAUCAGUGUGUGAUUCCGGGCUGUAGCACUGGGCUAACAGGACUCCGGGGAACCCGGGCUGUAGCAGGCUAGGCAGGACUCCGGAAGUCACCGCGUGACAUUUACCCGAAGGGACAGACAUAGGAACGAAGUGAAUCACAUGCCGGCAAGUCAAGUGUCCUGAGCAGUAGUACUGGGCUAGCAGGACUCCGGUGAACCGGGCUGUAGCGGACUACUAUGGCUCGAGGAACACUAGACUACAUUUCCCCAUAAGAAAGGCUGCCAAGGAUAAACAACUAGAUUGUCGGAUCCCACUCAUACCAAGCAUUUCAAUCAUACACACAAUAUGCCCGAUAUGAGUACAUACAACAUGGCAUCACAACAAAACUCUACAACUCAAGUACUUUAUUUAAAGGCUCUAGAGAGCCAUACAUAACAUGUUCAUACAGAUAGGGGUCACAUGACCCGACACUCAAGUCAUACAAUCAUACAAGCACAUGCGGAAGCAACCGGUCUGAGUACAGACACUAGAAAGAAAGAAGGCUCCUCGAGGCCUGUCUAUCUACAUAGGGCCCUCCAUGGCCAGGAUCACCACCUGGGUGGCUAGUCACUCGUCGAUGUCAAGGUCUACAUAGAACCCAUCGAAGGGGGCUGUGUUGUCGUCUGAAAACAGUAAUUAAGCAAACAUGAGUACAAAGGUACUCAGCAAGUCUUACAAAAGAACCUACUAUACAUGCUUAUUCUCAAGAAGGUGGUGGGGAUAUUGCAGCAAGCCAGUUUUCACUCUUGGCUAAACUAUCCUACAGAACUUCUCUAGUAAAAUAGUUUUCGCACACGAGUCCACUACUCACCAACACAAUACUCCACCGGGGAUCCUCCCUCGUCAUCCUAUGAGAGGGCCAUCCUCGGUACUCACACUUAUCUUGACUAUUUUAGUAGUAUCCAUUUAAUUGUCUAUGAACUGUAUAGGCAACCAAGUAGUCCUUUACCGCGGACGCGGCUAUUCGAAUAGUUUUAUACCCUGCAGGGGUGUACUUCGUCAUACAUGCUUUCACCACUUAUCGUCGUUUACACGACAUGUACUCGGCAACCUUCAAGCGAAAGCCCAGCGAGGGUGUCGGCCACGGCCUACCUAAACACUUAAGUCUCUAGUCCAGGUUUAUCGCCUAUCUAGGUUCCAUCCGCAGGGAGUCCGGGCGAGGUUUCCACAUACGGCCCCGAACGAUGUGAACAGGGUCCCGAGACGCCAAACGGGCGCCCGGCAUACCCGGCCAUGGUGUAUCUACCGCAACAUAGCCCACCCUUAGGGUCAGCGCUACGCACGGCCGCCAACACAUAACCUACAAACACCAGAAACUAUUUGCAACUCCUAGACAGAGUACAAGGGUGAUUAAGAAGCCGAGAGGGUCAAUUAAGGAUCCCAAUGCAUGGUAGUAGCUGAAUCUUAAAUCACACAUACCGAUCUCAGUUCUUAGGGACGGUCUCAAUGAAACAACCCACCAUGUACUCCUACAUGGCCUCUCAUCGAUACCUUUACCAAAACAUGUUCAACACAUUCCUCAUAUUACCGACAUAAUCAUAUCACCCUAGCCCAUCACCCAGAUGAACCAGACCUGACACAACUAUAAGCAUAGCAGGCAUAGCAAGGUAGGAAUCACAUACAUGGCUCAAUCAACUCCUACACAUGCUAGUGGGUUUCAUCUAGUUACUGUGGCAAUGACAGGUCAUGCAGAGGAUAAGGGUUCAACUAUCGUAGCACACAGCAGUUUGAAUCACAUUGUCUUAAUGCAGUAAACAAGAGCAGAGGCAAGAACAUGGGUUGUAUCGGAAUGAUCAAUGGGUUGCUUGACUGAUGGAGUGGUAGUGGGAUACUGCCCUUCAGUUGGAUACUCAUGAAUAUCCUCGGAGGCAGAACCUACCACGAAGAACACAUCGGAACACAAUCAACACAUGAUGAUAUGCAACAAUAUGAUGCAUGCUAUGACAUGGCAAUAUGAAUGUGUCUUGGCCUAAUGCAAGCUAAAAUAGAAAGGGAUGAACUCAUUUGAAUCAAAGAUUCAAAUAUUAGCUCAUUAAACAUGGCCUUAGUAGUGCAUUUCCUUAUUCUGCUUAAACAGCAAGGUAAACUUGUUUUUUCAUGCUUGAAACCAUUACAGAUGGAUAUAUUGAAUUUUUCUGAUAAUUUUUCAUAUAUAAAUUAUUUCAUUUGGAGUUACGGUUGAAUUUCUAUGAUUUUUAGAAGUUUCAAACAUUUUCUGGAAUUUCUUGAAUAAAAAUAAAUCCAGAAAAUGCAUUACUGCGUCAGCAUUGCAUCAUGCUGACCUCCGCAGGUCAAAGGCACCAGCCUAGGUCAAACCUGACUGGUGGGCCCCUUCUGUCAGUCUCUCAGUUAAAUAACAGGAUUAGAUUAACACUAAUUAGCUGUCAGUGGGGCCUGGGCCCACAUGUCACUGACUGAUUAAAAUAAAAUUAGUUAAAACUAAUCCUAGAUUAGUUAGCAAACCGGCCCCACCUGUCAUAGACUUAGGGGGGGUCUACCUGGGCCCACCCAGGGUCAAACUGGGUCAAACUCGCCGGCGCAGCUCGGAAAACGCCUACAGGGCACGAGCGAGGCCGUUCUUGGGCUCAUUGGAGAGCUCUUGCAGUCGCGCAUCUAGUGGCGGUGGUGGCCGGAGACGACGACGGCGAGCUCCAAGGCGGCGGCCGGAGUUCGGCCAUGUGCGGGGUGUCGGCUGUGGCGUGCAAACGUGGAAACUGAGGCACUAGCGAGGCACUACGCGAUGCGGCAAGCACGUUGCAUAGCACGGGAUAAUCAAAUGGUUGCCGGAGCGGCACCGGUGACAAGCUCGAGCGGAGACGAGCUUCGGCCAUGGUGGAACUAUGGCCUAGAGGGUGCAAACGCGUGGAAAAGAAGAGGGGAAAGGUGGCGGAGCUCACAGGGAGGUCGAUGAGCAGCUCAGUGGGCUCGGGGGCGACAGAAGUGAGGCGAAUCGAUGAGCAGCGUCCGGCGGGUACCGAGGUUGAAGACGAUCCGAUGGCGGCGAUGCAGGGCCUCCGGCGAUGCGUGGCUCGGUGGGAAGGGCGAGGGGGUGACGGAGGGCGCGACUACGGCGGUGAGACGGCGACGGGUGCGUCGGCCAUCGCGGGAGAGGGAGAGGGAGAUGAGUGGGAGAGUGAGAGAGGAUGAGAGGGGGACGUGGGGGUCGCGUGGCAUUCCCUGGACGUCUCCCGGCAUCGGCGGAAGCAGGAGGUGGCCGGCGUGUGGCCGCGGGCGCCGGCCACGCGCUCUGCGUCCUUCUGGCGCGAGGAGGACGACGACUGGCAGCGCCAGUAGGCUGGGCCGAGCCAGGUGGGCUGGCCAGCACAGGUAAGGCUCAGGUGGGCUUCUCCCUCUUUUUUUUAAUUUGUUUCUGUUUUCUAUUUAACUGUAAAUGUUGGGCUUUAUUUAAAAUACUAAAACAUUUCCAAAAAUCCUGAAAAUAAUUGUGGGCUCUGUUUGGAUUAUUUCCAAUAGCAAACAUUUAUUUGCAGAAUUAUUUGAGCAUUUAAAUGCCCAAAUUCAAAUACUUAUGAUUUAAAUCAAUGACCUUCUGUUGACCUAGAAAAGUUGUGCACCAAUUUUGCCAGAGGUUCUAACCCAAGACAAAGAGGGUGAACUUUUUAGAAGGGCAUUUCAGGUUCAUUGAAAAUAAUUUUAGUAAUCCCUAGUUGUUUCCAGGGGGGUGUUGGGGGUUUCUGCCUUCCCCAAUUCAAAUUUAAGAGGAAUUUAAACAUGAUGCACAUUCUAAUGCUUGAACUAGCUAGGGUGUGACAACUCACCCCCACUCAAAAGAAUCUCGUCCCGAGAUUUAGGAUCCUCUGGAAAGAAGGUGGGGUACUCGAGUCGAAGACGAUCCUCCCUUUCCCAAGUGGCUUCUUUCUCGGAAUGGUGUGUCCAUUGAACCUUGAGAAACUUGAUAUUAUGACGUCGAGUGGUACACUCGGCUUGAUCAAGGAUACGAACGGGAUAUUCCCGAUAAGAGAGGUUAUCUUGUAGAUCAAGCAUUUCGUGGUCCACUCCACGGAUAGGAUCCGCGAAGCAACGCCUGAGUUGUGAAACGUGGAAGACAUCAUGAACUCUGGAAAGAUGCGGAGGUAGUUCCAAUUGGUAGGCAACUUCUCCUCGUUUGGCAAGAAUGCGAAAGGGUCCAAUGUAACGAGGAGCCAAUUUGCCUUUGAUACCGAAAUGAUGGGUUCCUUUUAAUGGGGUAACCCGAAGGUAAGCCUUCUCGUCGAUUCAUAAGUCAUAGGCUUAUGUUUACGAUCAUAUUGACUCUUUUGACGAGAUUGGGCUGUUUUCAAUUUCUCACGAAUAACGCGAACCUGCUCUUCCGCUUCCUGAAUCAUAUCCGGGCCAAAGAGUUGUCUUUCCCCGGUUUCUGACCAGUUAAGAGGCGUUCGACAUUUUCGUCCAUAGAGAACUUCGAAAGGAGCUUUGCCCAAGCUAGCUUGAUAACUAUUGUUAUAAGCAAACUAUGCGAAUGGGAAGCAUUUCUCCCAACUCAUUCCGAAUGAGAUAACAGAAGCUCGGAGCAUAUCUUCUAGAAUUUGAUUGACUCGCUCUACUUGACCACUUGAUUGAGGAUGGAAGGCGGUACUAAAAGAGAGACGAGUUCCCAUAGCAUUUUGGAAACUUUCCCAAAAUCGAGAGGUGAAGAGACUCCCACGGUCUGAGUUAAUUUCCAAUGGGACACCAUGGAGAGACACUAUUCGGGAGAUGUAUAAAUCGGCUAGCUGGCUAGCAGUGAUACUCGCACGAACAGGUAGGAAAUGGGCUACUUUGGAAAGACGGUCGAUCACGACGAAGAUGGCAUUAUUCCCUCUCUUGUUCCUGGGAAACCCAGUAAUGAAAUCCAUACUGAUUUUAUCCCAUUUCCAUUCAGGAAUAGCCAAAGGUUGAAGGGUGCCAGCAGGCCGUUGAUGCCCUGCUUUAACACGAUGACAGACGUCGCAGCUAGCAAUGUAUCGAGCGAUUUCUCUCUUCAUCCUAGUACAUCAAAACCUCUGGCGUAGGUCUUGAUACAUUUUAUUGCUACCGGGAUGAAUGGUGAGAGGGGAUUCAUGAGCUUCCUUAAGGAUCAAUUGGCGUAGAUGUUGUUUCUUGGGAACCACCAAACGGUUCUCAAAGAAGACAGCACCCCGCUUAUCCAUGGAAAAACAUUUAGCAACUCCGCUAGCAAUGUUUUCCUUAAUCCGGGAUAUGCCCUUAUCAUACCGCUGGGCAGUUAUGAUCUGAUCCAUAAGGUUAGGUUUCGCCACCAGGGUGGAUAGGAAUCCUCGAGGAACAAUGUGAAGAUUAAGCUUACGGAAUUCCUCAUGGAGAAGUGGUUGACUUUGUUGUAACAUCAGGUUGUUACAAUAGGAUUUACGGCGUAGUGCAGCAGCCAUGACAUUGGCUUUGCCCGGUGUGUAGGUUAUUCCUAAGUCGUAAUCCGAGAUCAACUCAACCCAACGUCUUUGCCUGAGAUUCAAAUCUGGUUGGGUGAAGAUAUAUUUCAAGCUUUGGUGAUCGGUGAAGAUCUCGCAACGAUUAAGUGCAUGGACUACAGCUGCCAGCUCUAGAUCAUGUGUGGGAUAAUUUUCCUCAUGUGGGUGUAAUUGCCGUGAAGCGUAGGCAAUUACCUGACGAUCUUGCAUGAGUAUGCAACCUAGUCCUUGUCGCGAGGCGUCACAAUAGAUAAUAAAGUCCUUGGAUAAAUCAGGUGGUACCAGUACGGGAGCAGAUGUCAGGCGUCUUUUCAGUUCCUAAAAGCUGAACUCGCACUGUGGAGUCUACUCGAACUUUUUAUCUUUCUUGAGGAGUUUAGUUAGAGGUUUAGCAACCUUGGAGAAAUUCUCGACGAAGCGGCGGCAAUAGCUCGCUAAGCCAAGGAAGCUCCAAACUUGCUUGACCGUCUCAGGUGGAGUCUAAUCAAGGACGGCUUGAACUCGCUCGGGAUUGACGGCAAUACCCUUACCAGAGAUUACAUGGCCUAGAUAGGUUACUUCUGGCAACCAAAAUUCACACUUGGAGAAUUUGGCAUAAAGGCGAUGCUCUCGAAGUUUCAUCAAUACCAGCCUUAGAUGUUCGGCAUGUUCCUCUUCAUUCUUGGAGUAGAUUAGUAUGUCAUUGAGGUAUACUACGAUGAAUUUAUCCAAGUACUCCAUGAAAACCGAGUUCAUUAGCCGGGAGAAGGUAGCCGGGGCAUUGGUUAAACCGAAGGACAUAACGGUGUACUCGUAUUGGCCAUAACGAGUAACAAAGGCCGUUUUGGGAAUGUCCCCGUUUCUGAUUUAGAUUUGAUGGUAGCCCAACCUCAAAUCCAUCUUGGAAAAGACUGAGGAUCCAGCAAACUAAUCAUACAGAUCAUUGAUCCUGGGAAGUGGGUAUUUGUUCUUGAUGGUGACCAAGUUGAUAGGUCGGUAAUCCACAACCAUUCGAUCUGUUCCAUCCUUCUUGACGAAGAGGACGGGGCAAGCCCAAGGAGAGGAACUAGGACGGAUGAAACCCUUUUUCAAGGACUCAUCGAGUUGGUUCUCAAGCUCGGCUAGUUCUAAGGGUGCCAUCUUGUAGGGUCUUCUAGAAAUUAGAAUGGUUCCUGGAACAAGGUCUAUCACAAACUCGACAUCCCUGUCAGGUGGAACACCUGGCAGUUCUUCUGGAAAGGCAUCCGGAAAGUCUCGGACUACCGGAACAUCCUCAAGGUCUGGAAGGGGGUUGGCAUUUAGGGAGUAAAGUUGGCACUUGGCCACUCGAGUUAAGACAUUAACUGUCUUGCCCGAUGGGUGAGUAAGUUGAACGGUUCUAGUGGCACAGUCAAUCUUAGCAUAAUGAGCUGACAUCCAGUCCAUACCUAAGAUGAUGUUUAUGUCCGAGGACUUGAGAGCUAUUAAGGAUGCAAGGAAGACAAGUCUAUCGACAAGAAUUUCGUUCCCAUGGCUUACUCUAGAAGUUUGCCAUCUAGAGCCAGGGGUUUGAAUUUCCAUGGUAGAGGGCAUGUCACAGAAUGUCGUGUUGUGCAAUCGAGCAUAGUUCUCGGAUAUGAAUGAAUGAUAUGCUCCAGUAUCGAAAAGAACAGAUGCCGGAUGGCAGUUAACAAGGAGCGUACCAAGGACGACGUUGGGAUCCUCAUGAGCCUCCUCGGCUGAAACAUAGUUGACAUGGCCACGUGCAGUGGUGGCUGGCUUAGCGUAGAAUGUUUUUCCCGCGGGCUUACCACGGCCAACGGACUUUCCAGUUUGAUUGGGGUUGUUGUUCUGGGGACACUCUCGGCUAUAGUGACCCGGCUCUCCACACUUAAAGCAUGUCACCACAUUGGGGCGUGGAGCAGCAUUAGCAGCGGGGCCACCAUAGGGCUUGGGCGGUGCAAAUUGCUGGUUGGGACGUGGUGCCUCAAAGGAUGGCCUCGGGAUGAACCUGGGUGGCAGUGCCGUGCUUGGAAUCCACACCCGGCGCUUCUGAGCUCCAGAGCCGAUGAAGAGCCAAAAUCACGGGAGUGCUUGCGUGAAGUGUCAUAAUCAGUCUGGCCUUUCUCAGCACUGAUGGCUUUAUGGACCAACUUCUAAAAGGAGGUGCACUUGUGCAGACGAAGACCACGGUGAAGCUCAGGGCUAAGUCCCUUGCGGAACCUUGCCUGCUUCUUAGCAUCAGUAGAUACCUCUUCAGGGGCAUAACGUGCCAGAUUCCCAAAUUCACGACUGUAAGCAUCCACAGUCAGUCUUCCUUGGGUGAAGUUGCAGAACUCCUCCCUCUUGCGAUCCAUGAGACCUUCCGGAAUGUGAUGCUCACGGAAAGCCUCACUGAAUUCAGCCCAAGUAGUGAUUUGGCCGACCGGGCGCAUAGCUUCGAAGUUUUCCCACCAAAGGCUAGCAGGGCCUUUGAGGUGAUAGGCAGCAUAAGUAACCUUGUCGGCUUUGGCUACGUUGGCAGAACGUAGCUUGUGGGUGAUGCUGUGAAGCCAGUCAUCCACGUCGAGGGGCUCGACGGAAUGGUUAAACUUUGGUGGGUACAUCUUGAUAAAGUCAUUGAUUGACACCAACUCAUUUCGCGGGUGGCGUGCAGUGUUCUGCUCAAUCCGCUCCAGCAGGCGGUUGGUCUCACGCUUCUUUCUUUCUGCCUCCAGCAUUACUUCGGCCAGAGAAGGCGGGUGAGGCAGAUUUUCACCUCUAGCAGCACUGGCUUCCCCCUGCUCCGGGGCAACAGGGUUGCUGCGAGUAUUGACCAUCCUAGGAGAAAACAAGACAACGGUUUAGACAAGGAUGGCUCAAACUGAGCAAGGAUGUGCAGAAUGUAAUGGAUAACACGGAACACAGAGAUGUUCAUCCGUAUGUCAUGGUAAUAUAAAACUGCCAUAUAUAUACCAACGGUCAUACACAUCACACAUAGUUUAGUACAAGCCCAGGCUACAGUACAACUAUGAUGAAAGACGUUACAUCUCAUCGGAGGCAUUCCAAGCUCCUAUACAUUAUUGUCUACACCUUCGGAAUUGAUUACACGCAAAGUCAUAUUCCAAAAGUCACGCAGGACAGUGGAGAUACAACUACUACAAUACUAGUGGUACUACUACUAACUCAGACAGCUCCGUACUAGUCCUCAUAGAAGUCACCUCCAUAGCCUGGAAGUUCAACGUGACCAUCCGGGAACAGACGGUCCUGAGGAGCCUGUGGACCAUAGGGGCUUGGAUGGGGUCUUGGACCAACAAACGGUGGCCUGCGGGGACCACAGGGUGGGGUGAUGCCUCCCACAUCACGCCAAUCCACCACGUCUGGCAAAGCAGACCUCACAGGAUACAAAUCCCUUGUAUCCAUACAUCCAGCUUGCACCACAGGUGCAAACCGAGUCAAUGUGGCCCAAUGAUCAGCACGGGUAUUAAAAAGCUCCAGCCUCAAGGCCUGAUUCUCUCGGUCCUUAUAUUCGAGCAUCUCGGCAGUGGUACGAGUUAAUGAAUCCUCCUGAGUGGAGUCAGCAUAGAUAGCCUGAAGAUACCCUUGCGCUCCCGGAAGUGAAGCUAGCAUGUAUCGGAAGUCGGUGUUCCGAAGCAGGCCAGUCCGGACUCGCAUGAUUGUCAUCAUGGAAUAGGCAGCAUCCUGCACAGCCAUCUCAACAGUAACCCCGAGUCCAUAGGAACAGUGAAGGGGCUCGGUAGAUCCAGGAUAAGAAGGAAAUAUCUUGACGGUGCAGAAAUACUGGCUUUGAUUAAAGUCUCAGAAUUGCUCUUCGACGGUGUAUUCGGGAUACCAACGGUAACCCGUCUCGAUCAUGACCCGGACUAACAUAGCAGUAUGACCGGGCACGUCGAGCCACCGGGUCAGGCGAACCACUUUGUUUUGAGCACGGUUGGGCAUCUGAAAGCACAACCACAAUGCAAAGACAUCAGAAUUUCUAGGGAAAAUUGGACAGCAUAACAGCUGUAAAUGCUCAGAAAAAGAUUUGAGACAUCCACAACAGUUCGCAAUACCACUCAACAACAUCAUAUCAAGGUUCUGAUCCAAAUAGCAGCAUACUAAAAAUAGUAGAAACUGAACUGGGGCUUGUAACAACAAUCCUAUAAGCUACUACGGAUUAGUAACACGUGAACCUGAUAGAAGAAGAGAGACUAGUCCUUAACCCACAUUGAAUGAAAAGGGAAUGACUCAGAUAAGAGGCAUAGGGUAAAGGAGUAAAAGAGCCUUACGUUCCCUCCCACAAUCAAUUCCCCUACAUAUAACUAAAGCAUUUCCAGACUCGACAUCGACCAGUUUGGCUCAACGAACCUACAGGCAGUCCGGCACUGAUGCCAACGCUGUCAGGACCCCGAUUCCAAGACACAUCGAUCUAGCUGGUAACACCUCAUAUCACUUUGCGGCCUCACGCACGAUAUUCCACGGGUGUCGCCUUACCAUGGCCCGGGACCGUUUGCGCCUUUUGGCUCACGUAUAUGAUAGUGUCGCUAGCAUCCAUAUGAUAGAGAACCCGGGCCGACAUGGCUAGUCGUGAACCCAAAGAGGCACAGACCUAUGGAGACAGGCAUACAUGAAUCACAUCGAGCAUGUCGGUCAUCAGCGAGUGAUUCCGGGCUGUAGCACUGGGCUAACAGGACUCCGGGGAACCCGGGCUGUAGCAGGCUAGGCAGGACUCCGGAAGUCACCGCGUAACAUUUCCCCGAAGGGACAGACAUAGGAAUGAAGUGAAUCACAUGCCGGCAAGUCAAGUGUCCUGAGCUGUAGUGCUGGGCUAGCAGGACUCUGGUGAACCGGGCUGUAGCGGACUACUAUGGCUCAAGGAACACUAGACUACAUUUCCCCAUAAGAAAGGCUGCCAAGGAUAAACAACUAGAUUGCCGGAUCCCACUCAUACCAAGCAUUUCAAUCAUACACGCAAUAUGUCCGAUAUGAGUACAUACAACAUGGCAUCACAACAAAACUCUACAACUCAAGUACUUUAUUUAAAGGCUCUAGAGAGCCAUACAUAACAGGUUCAUACAGAUAGGGGUCACAUGACCCGACACUCAAGUCAUACAAUCAUACAAGCACAUGCGGAAGCAACCGGUCUGAGUACAGACACUAGAAAGAAAGAAGGCUCCUCGAGGCCUGUCUAUCUACAUAGGGCCCUCCAUGGCCAGGAUCACCACCUGGGUGGCUACUUACUCGUCGACGUCAAGGUCUACAUAGAACCCAUCGGAGGGGGCGGUGUUGUCGUCUGAAAACAGUAAUUAAGCAAACAUGAGUACAAAGGUACUCAGCAAGUCUUACAACAGAACCUAGUAUACAUGCUUAUACUCAAGAAGGUGGUGGGGAUAUUGCAGCAAGCCAGCUUUGACUCUUGGCUAAACUAUCCUACGGAACUUCUCUAGUAAAAUAGUUUUCGCACACGAGUCCACUACUCGCCAACACAAUACUCCACAGGGGAUCCUCCCUCGUCAUCCUAUGAGAGGGCCAUCCUCGGUACUCACACUUAUCUUGAGUAUUUUAGUAGUAUCCAUUUACUUGUCUAUGAACUGUAUAGGAAACCAAGUAGUCAUACACGCUAUUCGGAUAGUUUUAUACCCUGCAGGGGUGUACUUCGUCAUACACGCUUUCACCACUUAUCGCCGUUUACAUGACAUGUACUCGGCAACCUUCAAGCGGAAGCCCAGCGAGGGUGUCGGCCACGGCCUACCUAAACACUUAAGUCUCUAGUCCAGGUUUAUCGCCUAUCCAGGUUCCAUCCACAGGGAGUCCGGCCGAGGUUUCCACAUACGGCCCCGAACGAAGUGAACAUGGUUUCGAGACGCCAAACGGGCGCCCGGCAUACCCGGCCACGGUGUAUCUACCGCAACAUAGCCCACCCCUAGGGUCAGCGCUAUGCACGGCCGCCAACACAUAACCUACAAACACCAGAAACUAUUUGCAACUCCUGGACAGAGUACAAGGGUGAUUAAGAAGUCGAGAUGGUCAAUUAAGGAUCCCAAUGCAUGGUAGUAGUGAAUCUUAAAUCGCACAUACAGAUCUCAGUUCUUAGGGACGGUCUCAAUGAAACAACCCACCAUGUACUCCUACAUGGCCUCUCAUCGAUAUCUUUACCAAAACAUGUUCAACACAUUCCUCAUAUUACCGACAUAAUCAUAUCACCCUAGCCCAUCACCCAGAUGAACCAGACCUGACACAACUCUAAGCAUAGCAGGCAUAGCAAGGUAGGAAUUAUAUACAUGGCUCAAUCAACUCCUACACAUGCUAGUGGGUUUCAUCUAGUUACUGUGGCAAUGACAGGUCAUGCAGAGGAUAAGGGUUCAACUACUGUAGCACACAGCAGUUUGAAUCACGUUGUCUUAAUGCAGUAAACAAGAGCACAGGCGAGAACAUGGGUUGUAUCGGAAUGAUCAAUGGGUUGCUUGCUUGAUGGAGUGGUAGUGGAAUACUGCCCUUCAGUGGGAUACUCGUGAAUAUCCUCGGAGCCAGAACCUACCACGAAGAACACAUCGGAACACAAUCAACACAUGACGAUAUGCAACAAUAUGAUGCAUGCUAUGACGUAUCUUGGCCUAAUGCAAGCUAAAAUAGAAAGGGAUGAACUCAUUUGAAUCAAAAAUUCAAAUAUUAGCUCAUUAAACAUGACCUUAGUAGUGCAUUUCCUUAUUCUGCUUAAACAGCAAGGUAAACUUGUUUUGUCAUGCAUGAAACCAUUACAGAUGGAUAGAUUGAAUUUUUCUGAUAAUUUUUCAUAUAUAAAUUAUUUCAUUUGGAGUUACGGUUGAAUCUCUAUGAUUUUUAGAAGUUUUAAACAUUUUCUGGAAAUUACUGAAUAAAAAUAAAUCCAAAAAAUGCAUUACGGCGUCAGCAUUGUGUCAUGCUGACCUCAGCAGGUCAAAGGCGCCAGCCCAGGUCAAACCUGACUGGUGGGCCCCUUCUGUCAGUCUCUCAGUUAAAUAACAGGAUUAGAUUAACACUAAUUAACUGUCAGUGGGGCCUGGGCCCACAUGUCAGUGACUGAUUAAAAUAAAAUUAGUUAAAACUAAUCCUAGAUUAGUUAGCAGACCGGCCCCACCUGUCAUAGACUCAGGGGGGUCUACCUGGGCCCACCCAGGGUCAAACUGGGUCAAACUCGCCGGCGUUGAGCCGCCGGCGAGACCCGAGACAGUGGCGCAGCUCGGAAAACGCCUACAGGGCACGAGCGAGGCCGUUCUUGGGCUCGUUGGAGAGCUCUUGCAGUCGCGCAUCUAGUGCUGGUGGUGGCCGGGCCUACGGUGGCCGGAGACGACGACGGCGAGCUCCAAGGCGGCGGCCGGAGUUCGGCCAUGUGCGGGGUGUGGGCUGCGGCGUGCAAACGUGGAAACUGAGGCGCUAGCGAGGCACUACGUGAUGCGGCAAGCACGUUGCGUAGCACGGGAUGACCAAAUGGUCGCCGGAGCGGCGCUGACGACAAGCUCGAGCGGAGACGAGCUUCGGCCAUGGUGAAACUAUGGCCUAGAGGGUGCAAACGCGUGGAAAAGAAGAGGGGAAAGGUGGCGGAGCUCACAGGGAGGUCGAUGAGCAGCUCAGUGGGCUCGGGGCGACCGGAGUGAGGCGAAUCGACGAGCGGCGUCCGGCGGGUACCGAGGUUGAAGACAAUCCGAUGGCGGCGAUGCAGGGCCUUCGGCGAUGCGUGGCUCGGUGGGGAGGGCGAGGGCGUUACGGCGGAGCUUCUGGACAGGUCAGAGAGGCGAGGUGGUGAUGGAGGGCGCGACUAUGAUGGUGAGACGGCGAUUAAAAAGAAAGAUCUGGUUCACUCGUACGUGAAAAAAGUAGCAAGCGCUCGAUGCCUUCCUUUGCAUCGAUGCCAGACGCGGUGCUGGGAAUCGACAAGAUAACCGCCAAUCUACCACGAUUAAAUUCCUAGCGCCUCCUUCUAGCGCCUCCCACUGAAAAUGCCCUAAAGGUUUUGGAGGGAUUUUUUUACUGUGUCCUACUUCACGAAUCACGAGGCAAAUCAAGUAGCCGGCAUGGCCUGGCCGGUGAGUGCCAUUGCACUUACUUGCCCCAGCAAUUUUCCGCGUGCAUUGUAGAAUUCUUUCUCCGAGUCCUGUGAAUUAAAGAUGGUGCAGACAAAAAUAUAUCCUAUAUGCGUACAUGUGCAUGAUCAGAACAUGUUUUUACGUGCGUCUACUAUAAAUCAUGACCAUUUUUAACACAAAUCAUGACCAUUCAUGAUUAGUGAAUCAUACUGUCUUAACUUAUGUGAAAUCAUGUGGAGUAAUAUAAUAUAAUAUAAUAAAUAGAUAGAUCCAUGUUGUAUUAUUUUUUGUUUACAAAAAAUAUCUGUCAUUACACAUUUUGAUUUAUGCAUUUGUUUACAAAAAAAACAGUAACAUUUCAUGGUGGAAAGUUUGUAUUGUUUCAUACUGAACACCAAUGUUUUCCUGUAAAAGAAAAUAAUGCCUACGCAUAUGCUUUUAUAUUAUUAUUAUUCUUUCAAACUUAUUCAUACAGUAUUUUUGAUUGUGCAACCAUAAUUUUUAUUGUCUCUCUCGUUCCACUACAUGCUCUUACUCAAUGAUUUUUUUAUAACGGGUGUUUUUAUUAACUCAAAAUAUAGUAUCAAGCGGAUACAAAACAUAAUGAGCCACACCUGGUCUCUGCAUAACUAAGAUGCACACAGCCAAAAGCAGAUGUCUGACAAAAAUAAGAUAAGAAAAUCGACAUAUCGACAACAGUGAGUCAUAUAGUCCCGACACUAUGCCCCCGUUGAAGGACGGGGUGGAGCGAUCUGGAGAUUAUGCUGCCCUCCAUGUUGAGUAAAUACCUCCCUGGCCACUUGUUCCAAACGCAUAGACGCCGCCACGAAUAAUGGUCGGUACUCUGUUCAGUGUAGCAUACACCAUGUAGGAAGUGAGUGCUCACUCCUAGUUACUAAAUUAUGUACACACUAGUAGAAAAAGGGCCAUUUGUCCCGGUUCGUAAGGCCCAUUUGUCCCAAUUGGGGAACCGGGACUAAAGGGUCGGUACUAAAGCCCUACACCUUUAGUCCCGGUUCUUACACCAACCGAGACAGAUGGGGCUCCACGUGGCCGCUACAGCUUGCCGUGGCAGGGGGGCCUUUUGUCCCGGUUGGUAGCACCAACCGGGACCAAUAAGCUACCACGCGUCCGCAUUUGAGGGGCUAGGGUUUUUGUUUUUUUUCUGAAGGGGGGGGGGUGGGUUUGUAUGGUUAAUUUUGGGGGGUUUCACAUAUUGUGUUAGGUAGCUAAUUAAUUAAUAGAGAGAAGUGUCCUCACUUAUCUCCGUGCUUGGUCGACGCUACGUACUAUACGUAUAGAGAGGCCCUCAACACGCUAGCCAGUAAGCAAAUGAAGUAAACCAUUAAGUACAGAAGUUCGUCAUGAACAUAUGCAUACAAACAUAAGUGAUAUCGACCUCUCCUUCUCCGAGAGAUAGGUCGAACAACAAGUUUCCGUAUAUCUAUCCGGCGCUACUAGCUACAUAUAUACAAUAUUAAGAUCUCUUACAAUAUAAUCCCCUAAUUAUAUAUGAACUCAGCUUCCAGAUGGUAUUCUCCGGCUUUAUUGAUGGCGUGGUCAAGAAAGAUUCCCUCCAAUUCCUCUUGAAUUGCUUUGAUGCGAUCUUGUGGUAGGAGUUCAUCUCGCAUCUGCCACAUCUAAUUUGAAGAAGGGGGUCAAUCACCAGUAGAAUAACAACCAUUUGUCCUGGUUCAUAAGGUUAAUUUGUCCCGGUUGGGGAACCGAGACUAAAGGGUCUUUACUAAAGCCCUACACCUUUAGUCCUGGUUCUUACACCAACUGGGACAGAUGGGCCUCCAUGUGGCUGCUGCGGCGAGCCCAGGCCGGAGGUCCUUUGGUCCCGGUUAGUGGCACUGAUACGUCUCCAACGUAUCUAUAAUUUUUGAUUGCUCCAUGCUAUUAUGUUAUCUAUUUUGGAUGUUAAUGGCUUUAUUUUACACCUUUAUAUCAUUUUUGGGACUAACCUACUAAUCGGAGGCCCAACCCAAAUUGUUGUUUUCUACCUAUUUUAGGUUUUCGAAGAAAAGGAAUAUCAAACGGAGUCCAAACGGAAUGAAACCUUCGAGAACGUGAUUUUCUCAAUGAACAUGAUUCAGGAGAAUUGGAGUGUGCUCCAAGAAACAAGGGAGGAAGGCACGAGGCAGGGGGCGCGCCUACCCCCUUGGGCGCGCCCUCCACCCUCGUGGGCCCUCCGCUGCUCCACCGACGUACUUCUUCCUCCUAUAUAUAUCCACGUACCCCCAAACAUCCAGGAGCACCACGAAAACCUAAUUCCACCGCUGCAACCUUCUGUACCCGAGAGAUCCCAUCUUGGGGCCUUUUCCGGAGGUCCACCGGAGGGGGCAUCGAUCAUGGAGGGCCUCUACAUCAACUCCAUGGCCUCUCCGGUGAUGUGUGAGUAGUUUACUUCAGACCUAGGGGUCUAUAGUUAUUAGCUAGAUGGCUUCUUCUUCUCUCUUUGGAUCUCAAUACAAAGUUCUCCUCGAUUUUCUUGGAGAUCUAUUUGAUGUAACCUUCUUUUGCGGUGUGUUUGUCGAGAUCCGAUGAAUUGUGGGUUUGUGAUCCAGAUUAUCUAUGAACAAUAUUUGAUUCUCCUAUGAAUUCUAGUAUGUAUGAUUGGUUUAUCUUUGCAAGUCUCUUCGAAUUAUCAGUUUGGUUUGGCCUACUAGAUUGAUUUCUUGCAAUGGGAGAAGUGCUUAGCUUUGGGUUCAAUCUUGCAGUGUUUGAUCCCAGUGACAGAAAGGGAACCGAUACGUAUUGUAUUGUUGCCAUCGAGGAUAAAAAGAUGGGGUUUAUAUCAUAUCGCAUGAGUUUAUCCCUCUACAUCAUGUCAUCUUCCUUAAAGCAUUACUAUGUUCUCUUGAACUUAAUACUCUAGAUGCAUGCUGGAUAGCGGUCCAUGUGUCGAGUAAUAGUAGUAGAUGCAGAAUCGUUUCGGUCUACUUGUCUCGGACGUGAUGCCUAUAUACAUGAUCAUACCUAGAUAUUCUCAUAACUAUGUUCAAUUCUGUACAAUAUGGUGCACGGGGUUACAUCGGCCUGCAAAGACAUUUCUGCGAUGUGAGACAUCCGAAAAGCAACGAAAACGGGAGAUUAUACAUUUAUUGAAGAGGGCAGGUGUGACAGAUACCGUGAGGGCGUCGAGCUCAGCCAAAGACGAUGGACAGCUGAGCACGGCCUGUGUCAGAGCCGGUGCGGGAGCAGGUGCAGGUGCAGGUGCUGGUGCAACGCUAGUCGAGCUGCUCCUGAAGAAGUCAACAAUGGGAAAGUCCGCUGCAUUUUUUCUGCAUUUUGCGUGCUCCAAUUGAAAAUGGCUGGAACCAAGACAGUAGACAUAUCUGCAACCACCUGUUUUCCGGCAGCUACCGCUGUCGCGACUGUCUCAGAUGAUUUCUUCUCAACCGCAAUCUCAACCUUCUUGUCGAUGUUUUAUUCGGUUAACCUCCAUCUUUCCUUUCUCUCCUCCGUGGUCUCACGGUAGUACUUCUUCCACGUGGCCCCGUCUCCGACACCGUGAACGCGUCCAUACGACGACCGAGUCUCCACGGGGAGUCCUUUCAAUAUGUUCAAUGCCCGGUUGAAUGGAGUGUCCCACUUGGGCCUUGCCAAUGCCUCAGACGGCGAGUCGCUUUCGGCCGCAAUCUUAUGCUGCUCUCUCUACAAAAGGAACACGGAUCAUUUACAAAUAUGACUAAACGUGCAGUCGAACUGAUCAGAAACUAAAAUUACCAGCAGUCUCAUGAACUCCGUCGUGAUCGGGUCCGUCUUGAAAACCUUCUUGACUGAGUCCCAAUGGUGUCGUGCCCUGAGGACGUCAUGCUCCUACGGGACGGUGAAGUCCGCCAAGGGGUCUGGGAUGCCAGAUUUUCGCGUUUCGUGUCCUCCUUGGCCCAUAUGGACCUCUUCCUGCCGUAACCACUGCUUCCGAGGUGGUGGCGCCCCAUGUUCCUUUGUGGAAGCCCCUUCAUGUACUUCGACUUUGUUUUGGCAGCUUCGGCCUCGCAAGCCGCCUUGAAUAUUUCAAAGUGUUCUCUAGUGAUUGUCAGAUUAUCCUUUACAAUCUCGGAGUAGGGUUGAUACGUCUCCAACGUAUCUAUUAUUUUUGAUUGCUCCAUGCUAUAUUAUCUACUGUUUUGGACAUUAUUGGGCUUUAUUAUCUACUUUUAUAUUAUUUUUGGGACUAACCUAUUAACCGGAGGCCCAGCCUAGAAUUGUUGUUUUUUGACUGUUUUAGGGUUUCGAAGAAAAGGAAUAUCAAACGGAGUCCAAACGGAAUGAAACCUUCGGGAACGUGAUUUUCUGAAUGAACAAGACCCUGGAGACUUGGACCCUACGUCAAGACACAAAAGAGGAGGACACGAGGUAGGGGGCGCGCCUAACCCCCCCCCCCCCUCGAGGCACGCCCUCCACCCUCGUGGGGCCCCUGUUGCUCCACCGACGUACUCCUUCCUCCUAUAUAUACCUACGUACUUCCAAACGAUCAGAUACGGAGCCAAAACCCUAAUUCCACUGCCGCAACUUUCUGUAUCCACGAGAUCCCAUUUGGUGCCUGUUCCGGAGCUCCGCCGGAGGGGGCAUCGAUCACGGAGGGCUUCUACAUCAACACCAUAGCCUCUCCGAUGAAGUGUGAGUAGUUCACCUCAGACGUACCGGUCCAUAUUUAUUACCUAGAUGGCUUCUUCUCUCUUUUUGGAUCUCAAUACAAUGUUCUCCCCCUCUCUUGUGGAGAACUAUUCGAUGUAAUCUUGUUUUUGCAGUGUGUUUAUUGAGAUUGAUGAAUUGUGGGUUUAUGAUCAAGUCUAUGUAUGAAUAAUAUUUGAAUCUUCUCUAAAUUCUUUUAUGUAUGAUUGUUUAUCUUUGCAAGUCUCUUCGAAUUAUCAGUUUGGUUUGGCCUACUAGAUUGAUCUUUCUUACAAUGGGAGAAGUGCUUAGCUUUGGGUUCAAUCUUGCGGUGUCCUUUCCCAAUGACAGUAGGGGCAGCAAGGCAUGUAUUGUAUUGUUGCCAUCGAGGACAACAAGAUGGGGUUUUCAUCAUAUUGCAUGAGUCUAUCCCUCUACAUCAUGUCAUCUUGCUUAAGGCGUUACUCUGUUUUUAACUUAAUACUCUAGAUGCAUGCUGGAUAGCGGUCGAUGAGUGAAACCUAUGGCCCCCGGGUCUAUCUUUAUCAUAUUAAUCUCCUACUACUUAGUUAUUUCCUUUGCUUUUUCCUUUGCCUUUAUUUUACUUUUGAUCUUUAUCACAAAAAUACCAAACAUAUUAUCUUUAUCAUAUCUAUCAGAUCUCACUCUCGUAAGUGGCUGUGUAGGGAUUGACAACCCCUAUUCGCGUUGGUUGCGAGGAUUUAUUUGUUUUGUGCAAGUACGAGAGACUCGCGCGUAGCCUCCUACUGGAUUGAUACCUUGGUUCUCAAAAACUGAGGGAAAUACUUACACUACUUUGCUGCAUCAUCCUUCCUCUUCGCGGAAAACCAACGUAGUGCUCAAGAGCUGGCAAUAAGGAUUUCUGGCGCCGUUGCCGGGGAGGUCUAAGCAAAAGUCAACAUACCAAGUACCCAUCACAUACCCUUAUCUCCUGCAUUACAUUAUUUUCCAUUUGCCUCUCGUUUUCCUCUCCCCCACUUCACCCUUGCCGUUUUAUUCGCCCUCUCUCUCUCUCUCUAUCCUCCCUCUCUUUCUCUAUUUGCCUCUUUUUUCCCACUUGCUUUCUGUUUGCUUGUGUGUUAGUUGCUUGCUUGUCACGAUGGCUCAAGAUAAUACUAAAUUACGUGACUUCACCAAUACCAACAACAAUGAUUUUAUUAACACUCCGAUUGCUCCUCUUACCGAUGCUGAAUCUUGAGAAAUUAAUACUGCUUUGCUGAAUCUUGUCAUGAAAGAUCUGUUUUUCGGCCUUCCUAGUGAAGAUGCCGCUACCCACCUAAAUAGAUUCGUUGAUUUGUGUGACAUGCAAAAGAAGAAAGGUGUGGAUAAUGAUAUUGUUAAAUUGAAGCUAUUUCCUUUUUCGCUUAGAGAUCGUGCUAAAGCUUGGUUUUCGUCUUUGCCUAAAAAUACUAUUGAUUCAUGGAAUAAGUGCAAAGAUGCUUUUAUCUCUAAGUAUUUUCCUCCUGCUAAGAUCAUCUCUCUUAGAAACGAUAUUAUGAAUUUUAAGCAACUUGAUCAUGAACAUGUUGCACAAGCUUGGGAGAGAAUGAAACUAAUGAUACGUAAUUGCCCUGCCCAUGGUUUAAAUUUGUGGAUGAUUAUACCAAAUUUUUAUGCCGGAUUGAACUUUGCUUCUAGAAAUCUUUUAGAUUAGGCCGCGGGAGGCACUUUUAUGGAAAUCACUUUAGGAGAAGCUACUAAACUCCUAGAUAAUAUUAUGGUUAAUUAUUCUCAACGGCAUACCGAAAGAUCUACUAAUAAAAACGUGCAUGCGAUAGAAGAAAUUAAUGUUUCGAGUGGAAAGAUGGAUGAACUUCUGAAAUUAUUUGCUAAUAAGAGUAUUUCUUCUGAUCCUAAUGAUAUGCCCUUGUCUACUUUGAUUGAGAAUAAUAAUUAAUCUAUGGAUGUGGAUUUUGUUGGUAGGAACAAUUUUGGUAACAACGCGUACAGAGGAAAUUUCAACCCUAGGCCUUAUCCUAGUAAUCUCUCUAAUAAUUAUGGUAAUUCCUACAACAAUUCUUAUGGAAAUUAUAAUAAGAUGCCCUCUGAUUUUGGAUCUAAUAUUAGAGAAUUUAUUACUUUCCAAAAGAAUUUCAAUGCUUUGAUUGAAGAAAAAUUGCUUAAGAUUGAUGAUUUGGCUAGGAACGUUGAUAGAAUUACUCUUGAUGUUGAUUCUUUGAAACUUAGAUCUAUUCCACCUAAGCAUGAUGUCAAUGAGUCUCUCAAAGCCAUGAGAAUUUCCAUUGAUGAGUGCAAAGAAAGAACCACUAGGAUGCGUGUUAAGAAAGAUGCCUUUAUAAGAGCGUGUUCUUCUAAUUCCUAUGAAAAUAAUGAUGAAGAUCAAAAAGUUAUUGAUGUCCUCCCUAUUAAAUCUUUGUUUUGCAAUAUGAAUCUUGAUAAUCAUGGGACUGAAUAUGAUCCACCUUUACCUAGAAGGCGUUCCAAUAAUUCAGAAUUUGUUGAUCUUGAUGCUAAAAUUGAUAAAGGUGGGAUUGAAGAAAUUAAAACCCUAGAUGUUGCUAAACCCACUAUUAUGGAUUUCAAGGAACUUAACUAUGAAAACUGCCCUUUGAUUGAUUGUAUAUCCUUGUUACAAUCCGUGCUAAAUUCUCCUCAUGCUUAUAGUCAAAAUAAAGCAUUUACUAAACAUAUUGUUGAUGCCUUGAUGCAAUCUUAUGAAGAAAAACUUGAAUUGGAAGUUUCUAUCCCUAUAAAGCUUUAUGAUGAGUGGGAACCAACUAUUAAAAUUAAAAUUAAAUAUCAUGAAUGCUAUGCUUUAUGUGAUUUGUGUGCUAGUGUUUCCACGAUUCCAUAGACUUUGUGUGAUUUGUUAGGUUUCCGUGAUUUUGAUGAUUGCUCUUUAAACUUGCACCUUGCGGAUUCCACUAUUAAGAAACCUAUGGGAAGAAUUAAUGAUGUUCUUAUUGUUGCAAAUAGCAAUUAUGUGCCCGUAGAUUUUAUUGUUCUUGACAUAGAUUGCAAUCUUUCAUGUCCUAUUAUUCUUGGUAGACCUUUCCUUAGAACGACUGGUGCAAUUAUUGAUAUGAAGGAAGGAAAUAUUAGAUUCCAAUUUCCAUUAAGGAAAGGCAUGGAACACUUUCCUAGAAAGUAAAUUAAAUUACCUUAUGAAUCUAUUAUGAUAGCCACUUAUGGAUUGCCUACCAAAGAUGGCAAUACCUAGAUCUAUCCUUGCUUGUUAUGCCUAGCUAGGGGCGUUAAACGAUAGCGCUUGUUGGGAGGCAACCCAAUUUUAUUUUUAUUCCUUGAUUUUUUCUCCUGUUUAGUAAUAAAUAAUUUAUAUAGCCUCUGUUUUGGUUCUGUUCUUUGUGUUUAAUUAGUGUUUGUGCCAAGUAGAACCGUUAGGAAGACUUGGGGAAAGUCUUGUUACACUUGCUGUAAAAAACUGAAACUUCAGCGCUCACGAGAACUGCUGCCAUUUUUAUUUGGAAAGUGCUAUGUAGUUAAUUAUUUUUCAGAUGAUUAACAGAUAAAUUCCUCACGUCCAGAAAUUUAUUUUAGAAUUUUUGGGGUUCCAGCUCUUGAGCUAGCUACAGAGUACUACAGGCUGUUCUGUUUUUGAAAGAUUCUGUUUUUCGUGUGUUGUUUGCUUAUUUUGAUGAACCUAUGGCUAGUAAAAUAGUUUAUAUACCAUAGAGAAAUUGGAAUACAGUAGGUAUAACACCAAUAUAAAUAAAUAAUGAGUUCAUUACAGUACCUUGAAGUGGUCUUUUAUUUUCUUUCGCUAACGGAGCUCAUGAGAUUUUCUACUUUAAGUUUUGUGUUGUGAAGUUUUCAAGUUUUGGGUAAAGAUUUGAUGGAUUAUGGAACAAGGAGUGACAAGAGCCUAAGCUUGGGGGUUCCCAUGGCACCCCCAAGAUAAUCUAAGUACACCUAAAAACCAAAGCUUGGGGAUGCGCCGGAAGUCAUCCCCUCUUUCAUCUACUUCUAUCGGUAACUUUACUUGGAGCUAUAUUUUUAUUCGCCACAUGAUAUGUGUUUUGCUUGGAGCGUCUUGUAUUAUUUGAGUCUUUAUUUGUUAGUUUACCACAAUCAUCCUUGCUGUACACACCUUUUGAGAGAGCCAUACAUGAUUUGGAAUUUGUUAGAAUACUCUAUGUGCUUCGCUUAUAUCUUUUGAGUUAUAUAGUUUUGCUCUAGUACUUCACUUAUAUCUUUUAGAGCACGGUGGUGGAUUUGUUUUAUAGAAACAAUUGAUCUCUCAUGCUCCACUUAGAUUAUUUUGAGAUUCUUAAUAGCAUGUUAAUUUGCUUAAAAUCCUAAUAUGCUAGGUAUUCAAAGUUAGUAAAAUUUUCUUAAGAGUGUUUUGAAUACUAAGAGAAGUUUGAUGCUUGAUGAUUGUUUUGAGAUAUGGAGGUAAUAAUAUCAAAGUCGUUCUCGUUGACUAGUUGUGAAAUUGAGAAAUACUUGUGUUGAAGUUUGCAUGUCCCGUAGCACGCACGUAUGGUAAACGUUGUGUAACAAAUUUGAAACAUGAGGUGUUAUUUGAUUGUCUUCCUUGUGAGUGGCGGUCGGGGACGAGCGAUGGUCUUUUCCUACCAAUCGAUCCCCCUAGGAGCAUGCGAAUAGUACCAAGGUUUUUGAUGACUUGUAGAUUUUUGCAGUAAGUAUGUGAGUUCUUUAUGACUAAUGUUGAGUCCAUGAAUUAUACGCACUCUCACCCUUCCAUCCUUGCUAGCCUCUUCGGUACCGUGCAUUGCCCUUUCCCACAUUGAGAGUUGGAGCAAACUUCGCCAGUGCAUCCAAACCCCGUGCUAUGAUACGCUCAUUCACACAUAAACCUCCUUAUAUCUUCCUCAAAACAGCCACCAUACCUACCUAUUAUGGCAUUUCCAUAGCCAUUCCGACAUAUAUUGCCAUGCAACUUUCCACCAUUCCGUUCAUCAUGACACAUUCAUCAUUGUCAUAUUGCGUAGCAUAAUCAUGUAGUUGACAUAGUAUUUGUGGCAAGGCCACCGUUCAUAAUUCAUUCAUACAUGUCACUCUUGGUCCAUUGCAUGUCCCGGUACACCGCCGGAGGCAUUCAUAUAGAGCCAUACUUUGUUCUAGUAUCGAGUAGUAAUUAUUGAGUCGUAAAUAAAUAGAAGUGUGAUGAUCAUCAUUAAUAGAGCAUGGUCCCAAAAAGAAAAAAAAGGAAGGGCCAAAAAAAGGCCAAAUAAAAAAAUAUAAAAAAGGGGGCAAUGCUACUAUCCUUUUUUUCCAAACUUGUGCUUCCAAGUAGCACCGUAAUCUUCAAGAUAGAGAGUCUCUUGAUUUGUCACUUUCAUAUACUAGUGGGAAUUUUUCAUUAUAGAACUUGGCUUGUAUAUUCCAACAAUGGGCGUCCCCAAGUUCCCUAGGUCUUCGUGAGCAAGCAAGUUGGAUGCACACCCACUUAGUUUCUUUUGUUGAGCUUUCAUACAUUUAUAGCUCUAGUGCAUCCGUUGCAUGGCAAUUCCUACUCCUUGCAUUAACAUCAAUCAAUGGGCAUCUCCAUAGCCCAUUGAUUAGCCUCGUUGAUGUGAGACUUUCUCCUUUUUGUCUUCUCCACAUAACCCCACUCAUUAGAUUCUAUUCCACCCAUAGUGUUAUGUCCAUGGCUUGCAAUCAUAUAUUGCGUGAAAGUUUAUAGGUUUGAGAUCACUAAAGUAUGAAACAAUUGCUUGGCUUGUCAUCGGGGUUGUGCAUGAUGAGAGCAUACUUGUGUGACGAAAAUGAAGCAUGACUAAACUAUAUGAUUUUGUAGGGGUGAACUUUCUUUGGCCAUGUUAUUUUGAGAAGACACAAUUGCUCAGUUAGUAUGCUUAAAGUAUUAUUAUUUUAUGUCAAUAUGAACUUUUGUCUUGAAUGUUUCAGAUCCGAAUAUUCAUACCACAAUUAAGAAGAAUUACAUUAAAAUCAUGCCAAGUAGCACUCCACAUCAAAAAUUCUGUUUUUAUCAUUUACCUACUCGAGGACGAGCCGGAAUUAAGCUUGGGGAUGCUUGAUACAUCUCCAACGUAUCUAUAAUUUUUGAUUGCUCCAUGCUAUAUUAUCUACUGUUUUGGACAAUAUUGGGCUUUAUUAUCCACUUGUAUAUUAUUUUUGGGACUAACCUAUUAACCGGAGGCCCAGCCCAGAAUUGUUGUUUUUUGCCUGUUUUAGGGUUUCGAAGAAAAGGAAUAUCAAACGGAGUCCAAACGGAAUGAAACCUUCGGGAACGUGAUUUUCUCAACGAACAAGAUCUAGGAGACUUGGACCCUCCAUCAAGACAUAAAAGAGGAGGCCACGAGGUAGGGGGCGUNNNNNNNNNNNNNNNNNNNNNNNNNNNNNNNNNNNNNNNNNNNNNNNNNNNNNNNNNNNNNNNNNNNNNNNNNNNNNNNNNNNNNNNNNNNNNNNNNNNNNNNNNNNNNNNNNNNNNNNNNNNNNNNNNNNNNNNNNNNNNNNNNNNNNNNNNNNNNNNNNNNNNNNNNNNNNNNNNNNNNNNNNNNNNNNNNNNNNNNNNNNNNNNNNNNNNNNNNNNNNNNNNNNNNNNNNNNNNNNNNNNNNNNNNNNNNNNNNNNNNNNNNNNNNNNNNNNNNNNNNNNNNNNNNNNNNNNNNNNNNNNNNNNNNNNNNNNNNNNNNNNNNNNUGGGCCCCCCUGUUGCUCCACCGACGUACUCCUUCCUCCUAUAUAUACCUACUAUUGGGGAACGUAGCAGAAUUUUAAAAUUUUCUACGCAUACCAAGAUCAAUCUAUGGAGUCAUAUAGCAACGAGGGAGAGAGGAGUGCAUCUACAUACCCUUGUAGAUCGCGCGCGGAAGCGUUCAAGAGAACGGGGUUGAUGGAGUCGUACUCGUCGUGAUCCAAAUCACCGAUGACCAAGUGCCGAAUGGACAGCACCUCCGCGUACAACACACGUACGGUUGGGAAGACGUCUCCUCCUUCUUGAUCCAGCAAGGGGGAAGGAGAGGUUGAUGAAGAUCCAGCAGCACGACGGCGUGGUGGUGGAUGCAGCAGGAUCCCGGCAGGGCUUCGCCAAGCGCAAGCGGGGAGGAGAGGUGUUACGGAAGGAGAGGGAGGCGCCAAGAGCAAGGGUGCGGCUGCCCUCCCUCCCCCCCCUCUUUAUAUAGGGGCCUUGGGGGGGCGCCGGCCCUAGGAGAUGGAUCUCCAAGGGGGGCGAAGGCCAAGGGGUGGCUUCCCCCCCAAGCCAAGUGGGGGGCGCCCCCACCCCUAGGGUUUCCCAACCCUAGGCGCAUGGGAGGCCCAAGGGGGGCGCACCAGCCCACUAGGGGCUGGUUCUGCUCCCAAUUCAGCCCAUGGGGCCCUCCGGGAUGGGUGGCCCCACCCGGUGGACCCCCGGGACCCUUCCGGUGGUCCUGGUACAAUACCGGUGACCCCCGAAACCUUCCCGAUGGCCGAAAUUGUACUUCCUAUAUAUAAAUCUUUACCUCCGAACCAUUCCGGAACUCCUCGUGACGUACGGGAUCUCAUCCGGUACUCCGAACAUAUCCUUGGUUACUACAUACUAAUAUCUCUACAACCCUAGCGUCACCGAACCUUAAGUGUGUAGACCCUACGGGUUCGGGAGACAUGCAGACAUGACAGAGACGCCUCUCCGGUCAAUAACCAACAGCGGGAUCUGGAUACCCAUGUUGGCUCCCACGUGCUCCACGAUGAUCUCAUCGGAUGAACCACGAUGUCGAGGAUUCAAUCAAUCUGUGUAGAAUUCCCUUUGUCAAUCGGUACGUUACUUGCCCGAGACUCGAUCGUCGGUAUCCCAAUACCUCGUUCAAUCUCGUUACCAGCAAGUCACUUUACUCGUGCCGUAAUGCAUGAUCCCAUGAUCAACCACUUGGUCACAAUGAGCUCAUUAUGAUCAUGCAUUACCGAGUGGGCCCAGAGAUACCUCUCCGUCAUACGGAGUGACAAAUCCCAGUCUCGAUUCGUGCCAACCCAACAGACACUUUCGGAGAUACCUGUAAUGUACCUUUAUAGUCACCCAGUUACGUUGUGACGUUUGGCACACCCAAGGCACUCCUACGGUAUCCGGGAGUUGCCCAAUCUCAUGGUCUAAGGAAAUGAUACUUGACAUUCGGAAAAGCUACAGCAAACGAACUACACGAUCUUUGAGCUAUGCUUAGGAUUGGGUCUUGUCCAUCACAUCAUUCUCCUAAUGAUGUGAACCCGUUAUCAAUGACAUCCAAUGUCCAUAGUCAGGAAACCAUGACUAUCUUUUGAUCAACGAGCUAGUCAACUAGAGGCUCACUAGGGACGUGUUGUCGUCUAUGUAUUCACACAUGUAUUACGAUUUCCGGAUAACACAAUUAUAGCAUGAAAAAUAGACAAUUAUCAUGAACAAAGAAAUAUAAUAAUAACCAUUUUAUUAUUGCCUCUAGGGCAUAUUUCCAACAGUCUCCCACUUGCACUAGCGUCAGUAGUCUAGUUACAUUUUGAUGAAUCCAACACCCAUGAAGUUCUGGAGUUGAUCAUGUUUUGCUCUAGGGAGAGGUUUAGUCAAUGGAUCUGCCACAUUCAGGUCCGUAUGUACUUUACAAAUCUCUAUGUAUCCAUUUUGAACACUUUCAUGAAUGGAGUUGAAGUGACGCUUGAUAUGCCUGGUCUUCCUGUGAAAUCUGGGCUCCUUGGCAAGUGCAAUAGCUCCAGUGUUGUCACAGAAUAGAGUCAUCGGGCCCGGUGCAUUGGGUGUGACUCCUAGGUCGGUAAUGAACUCCUUCACCCAGAUUGCUUCUUGUGCUGCCUCCGAGGCUGCCAUGUACUCUGCUUCACAUGUAGAUCCCGCCACAACGCUUUGCUUGCAACUCCACCAGCUUACUGCCCCACCAUUCAAAAUAUACACGUAUCCGGUUUCCGACUUAGAGUCAUCCAGAUCUGUGUCGAAGCUAGCAUCAACGUAACCCUUUACGACGAGCUCUUCGUCACCUCCAUAAACGAGAAACAUAUCCUUAGUCCUUUUUAGGUACUUGAGGAUAUUCUUGACUGCUGUCUAGUGUUCCAUGCCGGGAUUACUUUGGUACCUUCCUACCAAACUUACGGCAAGGUUUUCAUCAGGUCUGGUACACAGCAUAGCAUACAUGAUAGACCCUAUGGCCGAGGCAUAGGGGAUGACACUCAUCUUUUCUCUAUCUUCUGUCGUGGUCGUGCAUUGAGCCUCGCUCAAUCUCGUACCUUGCAAUACAGGCAAGAACCCUUCUUUUACUGAUCCAUUUUGAACUUCUUCAAUAUCUUAUCAAGGUAUGUACUCUGUGAAAGACCAAUGAGGCGUCUCGAUCUAUCUCUAUAGAUCUUGAUGCCUAAUAUAUAAGCAGCUUCUCCAAGAUCCUUCAUUGAAAAACACGUGUUCAAGUAGGCCUUUAUGCUUUCCAAGAAUUCUAUAUCAUUUCCCAUCAACAAUAUGUCAUCCACAUCCAAUAUGAGAAAUGCUACAAAGCUCCCACUCACUUUCUUGUAAAUGCAGACUUCUCCAUAAGUAUGCGUAAACCCAAACGCUUUGAUCAUCUCAUCAAAACGAAUGUUCCAUCUCCGAGAUGCUUGCACCAGCCCAUAAAUCGAAUGUUGGAGCUUGUACACCUUGUCAGCAUUCUUAGGAUCGACAAAACCUUCCGGCUGCAUCAUAUACAAUUCUUCCUUAAGGAAACCAUUAAGGAAUGUUGUUUUGACGUCCAUUUGCCAUAUUCAUAAUCAUAGAAUGCGGCAAUUGCUAACAUCGUAGUCAACCCCUUGAACUUGCCGAUAACCCUUAGCGACAAGCCGAGCUUUAUAGAUGGUCACAUUACCAUCCGCGUCUGUCUUCUUCUUAAAGAUCCAUUUAUUUUCUAUGGCUCGCCGAUCAUCGGGCAAGUCAGUCAAAGUCCAUACUUUGUUUUCAUACAUGGAUCUUAUCUCGGAUUUCAUGGCUUCCAGCCAUUUGUUGGAAUUCAGGCCCGCCAUCGCUUCUUCAUAGUUCGAAGUUCACCGUUGUCUAACAACAUGAUUUCCAAGACAGGGUUGCCGUACCACUCUGGUGCGGGACGUGUCCCCGUGGACCUACGAAGUUCAGUAGCAACUUGAUCUGAAGUUUCAUGAUCAUCAUCAUCAAUUUCCUCUCUAGUCGUUGCAGGCACCUUAGGAACAUUUUCUUGAGCUGCGCCACUUACCGGUUCAAGAGGUAAUAAUACUUCAUCAAGUUCUACUUUCCUCCCACUUAUUUCUUUCGAGAGAAACUCUUUCUCUAGAAAGGACCCAUUCUUGGCAACAAAGAUCUUGCCUUCGGAUCUGAGGUAGAAGGUAUACCCAAUAGUUUCUUUAGGGUAUCCUAUGAAGACGCAUUUUUCCAAUUUGGGUUCGAGCUUUUCAGGUUGAAGUUUCCUUACAUAAGCAUCGCAUCCCCAAACUUUUAGAAAUGACAUCUUAGGUGUCUUCCCAAACCAUAAUUCAUACGGUGUCAUCUCAACGGAUUUCGACGGAGCCCUAUUUAAAGUGAAUGCGGCAGUCUCUAAAGCAUAGCCCCAAAAUGACAGCGGUAAAUCGGUAAGAGACAUCAUAGAUCGCACCAUAUCUAAUAGAGUGCGAUUAUGACAUUCCGACACACCAUUACGCUGAGGUGUUCCAGGCGGCGUGAGUUGUGAAACUAUUCCACAUUUUCUUAAGUGUGUGCCAAAUUCGUGACUCAAGUAUUCUCCCCCACGAUCUGAUCGCAAGAACUUGAUUUGCCUGUCACGUUGAUUCUCAACCUCACUUUGAAAUUCCUUGAACUUUUCAAAGGUCUCAGACUUGUGUUUCAUUAAGUAGACAUACCCAUAUCUACUCAAGUCAUCAGUGAGGGUGAGAACAUAACGAUAGCCACCGCGCCUCAACACUCAUUGGACCGCACACAUCAGUAUGUAUGAUUUCCAAUAAGUUGGUUACUCGCUCCAUUGUUCCUGAGAACGGAGUCUUGGUCAUUUUACCCAUGAGGCAUGGUUCGCACGUGUCAAAUGAUUCGUAAUCAAGAGACUUUAAAAGUCUAUCUGCAUGGAGCUUCUUCAUGCGUUUGACACCUAUGUGACCAAGGCGGCAAUGCCACAAGUAUGUGGGACUAUCAUUAUCAACCUUACAUCUUUUGGUAUUCACACUAUGAAUAUGUGUAACAUUAUGCUCGAGAUUCAUUAAGAAUAAACCAUUCACCAAUGGAGCAUGACCAUAAAACAUAUCUCUCAUAUAAAUAGAACAACCAUUAUUCUCGGAUUUAAAUGAGUAGCCAUCUCAAAUUAACCGAGAUCCUGAUACAAUGUUCAUGCUCAAAGCUGGCAGUAAAUAACAAUUAUUGAGGUUUAAAACUAAUCCCAUAGGCAAAUGUAGAGGCAGCGUGCCGACGGCGAUCACAUCAACCUUGGAACCAUUCCCGACGCACAUCGUCACCUCGUCCUUCGCCAGUCUCCGUUUAAUCCGCAGCUCCUGCUUUGAGUUACAAAUGUGAGCAACUGCACCGGUAUCAAAUACCCAGGAGCUACUACGAGUACUGGUAAGGUACACAUCAAUUACAGGUAUAUCACAUAUACCUUUAGUGUUGCCGGCCUUCUUGUCCGCUAAGUAUUUGGGGCAGUUCCGCUUCCAGUGACUACUUCCCUUGCAAUAAAAACACUCAGUCUCGAGCUUGGAUCCAUUCUUUGGCUUCUUCCCGGAAACUUGCUUAGCGGGCGCGGCAACUCCCUUGCCGUCCUUCUUGAAUUCUUCUUACCCUUGCCUUUCUUGAACUUAGUGGUUUUAUUCACCAUCAACACUUGAUGUUCCUUUUUGAUUUCCACCUCUGCUGAUUUCAGCAUUGAAUAUACCUCAGGAAUGGUCUUUUCCAUCCCCUGCAUAUUGAAGUUGAUCACAAAGCUCUUGUAGCUCGGUGGAAGCGACUGAAGGAUUCUGUCAAUGACCGCGUCAUUCGGGAGGUUAACUCCCAGCUGAGUCAAGCGGUUAUGCAACCCAGACAUUUUGAUUAUGUGCUCACUGACAGAACUAUUUUCCUCCAUCUUAUAGCUGAAGAACUUGUCGGAGACUUCAUAUCUCUCGACCCGGGCAUGAGCUUGAAAAACCAUUUUCAGCUCUUCGAACAUCUCAUAUGCUCCAUGUCUCUCAAAAUGCUUUUGGAGCCCCGGUUCUAAGCUGUAAAGCAUGCCGCACUGAACGAGGGAGUAAUCAUCAGCACGUAACUGCCAAGCGUUGAUAAUGUCUUGGUUCUCUGGGACAGGUGCGUGACCUAACGGUGCUUCUAGGACAUAAUAUUUCUUGGCAGCUACGAGGAUGAUCCUCAGGUUCCGGACCCAGUCCGUAUAGUUGCUGCCAUCGUCUUUCAGCUUGGUUUUCUCUAGGAACGCGUUGAAAUUGAGGACAACGUGGGCCAUUUGAUCUACAAGACAUAUUGUAAAGAUUUUAGACUAAGUUCAUGAUAAUUAAGUUCAUCUAAUCAAAUUAUACAAUGAACUCCCACUCAGAUAGACAUCCCUCCAGUCAUCUAAGUGAAACAUGAUCCAAGUUAACUAGGCUGUGUCGGAUCAUCACGUGAAACGGACUAGUCAACAUCGGUGAACAUCUUCAUGUUGAUCGUAUCUUCUAUACGACUCAUGCUCGACCUUUCGGUCUUCUGUGUUCCGAGGCCAUGUCUGUACAUGCUAGGCUCGUCAACUAAACCUAAGUGUAUUGCGUGUGUAAAUCUGGCUUACACCCGUUGUAUUCGAACGUUAGAAUCUAUCACACUCGAUCAUCACGUGGUGCUUCGAAACAACGAACCUUCGCAACGGUGCACAGUUAGGGGGAACACUUUCUUGAAAUUAUUUCGAGGGAUCAUCUUAUUUAAGCUACCGUCGUUCUAAGCAAAUAAGAUGUAAAACAUGAUAAACAUCACAUGCAAUCAAAUAGUGACAUGAUAUGGCCAAUAUCAUUUGCUCCUUUUGAUCUCCAUCUUUGGGGCUCCAUGAUCAUCGUUGUCACCAGCAUGACACCAUGAUCUCCAUCAUCAUGUCUUCUUGAAGUUGUCUCGUCAUCUAUUACUUCUACUACUAUGGCUAAUGCUUUAGCAAUAAAGUAAAGUAAUUACAUGACGUUUAUGUUGACACGCAGGUCAUAAAAAAAUAAAGACAACUCCUAUGGCUCCUGCCGGUUGUCAUACUCAUCGACAUGCAAGUCGUGAUUCCUAUUACAAGAACAUGAUCAAUCUCAUACAUCACAUAUAUCAUUCAUCACAUCCUUUUGGCCAUAUCACAUCAGACGGCACAUGCUGCAAAAACAAGUUAGACGUCCUCUAAUUGUUGUUGCAAGUUUUUACAUGGCUGCUAUAGGUUUCUAGCAAGAACGUGUCUUACCUACGCCAAAACCACAACGUGAUAUGCCAAUUUCUAUUUACCCUUCAUAAGGACCCUUUUCAUCGAAUCCGAUCUAACUAAAGUGGGAGAGAUAGACACCCGCCAGCCACCUUAUGCAAGUAAUGCAUGUCAAUCGGUGGAACCAGUCUCACGUAAGCGUACGUGUAAGGUCGGUCCGGGCCGCUUCAUCCCACGAUGCCGCCGAAUCAAGAUAAGACUAGUAACGGCAAGCAAAGUGACAAUAUCCACGCCCACAACUGCUUUGUGUUCUACUCGUGCAUAGAAACUACGCAUAGACCUGGCUCAUGAUGCCACUAUUGGGGAAUGUAGCAGAAUUUUAAAAUUUUCUACGCAUCACCAAGAUCAAUCUAUGGAGUUAUCUAGCAAUGAGGAAGAGAGGAGUGCAUCUACAUACCCUUGUAGAUCGCGCGCGGAAGCGUUCAAGAGAACGGGGUUGAUGGAGUCGUACUCGUCGUGAUCCAAAUCACCGAUGACCAAGUGCCGAACGGACAGCACCUCCGCGUUCAACACACGUCCGGUUGGGAAGACGUCUCCUCCUUCUUGAUCCAGCAAGGGGGAAGGAGAGGUUGAUGAAGAUCCAGCAGCACGACGGCGUGGUGGUGGAUGCAACAGGAUCCCGGCAGGGCUUCGCCAAGCGCAAGCGGGGAGGAGAGGUGUUACGGAGGGAGAGAGAGGCGCCAAGAGCAAGGGUGCGGCUGCCUUCCCUCCCCCCUCUUUAUAUAGGGGCCAUGGCGGGCGCCGGCCCUAGGAGAUGGAUCUCCAAGGGGGGCGAAGGCCAAGGGGUGGCUCCCCCCCCCAAGCCAAGUGGGGGGCGCCCCCACCCCUAGGGUUUCCCAACCCUAGGCGCAGGGGAGGCCCAAGGGGGCGCACCAGCCCACUAGGGGCUGGUUCCCCUCCCAAUUCAGCCCAUGGGGCCCUCCGGGAUGGGUGGCCCCACCCGGUGGACCCCCGGGACCCUUCCGGUGGUCCCGAUACAAUACCGGUUACCCCCGAAACCUUCCCGAUGGCCGAAACUGUACUUCCUAUAUAUAAAUCUUUACCUCCAAACCAUUUCAGAACUCCUCGUGACGCCCGGGAUCUCAUCCGGGACUCCGAACAACUUUCGGCUUACUACAUACUAAUAUCUAUACAACCCUAGCGUCACCGAACCUUAAGUGUGUAGACCCUACGGGUUUCGGAGACAUGCAGACAUGACUGAGACGCCUCUCCAGUCAAUAACCAACAGCGGGAUCUGGAUACCCAUGUUGGCUCCCACAUGCUCCACGAUGAUCUCAUCGGAUGAACCACGAUGUCGAGCAUUCAAUCAAUCUGUAUACAAUUCCCUUUAUCAAUCAGUACGUUACUUGCCCGAGACUCGAUCGUCAGUAUCCCAAUACCUUGUUCAAUCUCGUUACCGGCAAGUCACUUUACUCAUACCAUAAUGCAUGAUCCCGUGAUCAACCACUUGGUCACAUUGAGCUCAUUAUGAUGAUGCAUUACCGAGUGGGCCCAGAGAUACCUCUUCAUCACGCGGAGUGACAAAUCCCAGUCUCGAUUCAUGCCAACCCAAUAGACACUUUCGGAGAUACCUGUAAUGUACCUUUAUAGUCACCCAGUUACGUUGUGACGUUUGGCACACCCAAGGCACUCCUACGGUAUCCGGGAGUUUCACAAUCUCAUGGUCUAAGGAAAUGAUACUUGACAUUCGGAAAAGCUACAGCAGAUGAACUACACGACCUUUGAGCUAUGCUUAGGAUUGGGUCUUGUCCAUCACAUCAUUCUCCUAAUGAUGUGAUCCCAUUAUCAAUGACAUCCAAUGUCCAUAGUCAGGAAACCAUGACUAUCUUUUGAUCAACAAGCUAGUCAACUAGAGGCUCACUAGGGACGUGUUGUGGUCUAUGUAUUCACACAUGUAUUACGAUUUCCGGAUAACACAAUUAUAGCAUGAACAAUAGACAAUUAUCAUGAACAAAGAAAUAUAAUAAUAACCAUUUUAUUAUUGCCUCUAGGGCAUAUUUCCAACACCUACGUACCCCCAAACGAUCAUAUACGGAGCCAAAACCCUAAUUCCACCGCCGCAACUUUCUGUAUCCACGAGAUCCCAUCUUGGGGCCUGUUCCGGAGCUCCGCCAGAGGGGGCAUCGAUCACGGAGGGCUUCUACAUCAACACCAUAGCCUCUCUGAUGAAGUGUGAGUAGUUCACCUCAGACCUACGGUUCCAUAGUUAUUAGCUAGAUGGCUUCUUCUCUCUUUUUGGAUCUCAAUACAAUGUUCUCCCCAUCUCUUGUGGAGAACUAUUCGAUGUAAUCUUCUUUUUGCGGUGUGUUUGUUGAGACCGAUGAAUUGUGGGUUUAUGAUCAAGUCUAUCUAUGAAUAAUAUUUGAAUCUUCUCUGAAUUGUUUUAUGUAUGAUAGGUUAUCUUUGCAAGUCUCUUCGAAUUAUCAGUUUGGUUUGGCCUACUAGAUUGAUCUUUCUUGCAAUGGGAGAAGUGCUUAGCUUUGGGUUCAAUCUUGCGGUGUCCUUUCCCAGUGACAGUAGGGGCAGCAAGGCACGUAUUAUAUUGUUGCCAUCGAGGACAACAAGAUGGAGUUUUCAUCAUAUUGCAUGAGUCUAUCCCUCUACAUCAUGUCAUCUUGCUUAAGGCGUUAAUCUGUUUUUAACUUAAUACUCUAGAUGCUUGCUGGAUAGCGAUCGAUUAGUGGAGUAAUAGUAGUAGAUGCAGGCAGGAGUCGGUCUACUUGUCUCGGACGUGAUGCCUAUAUACAUGAUCAUACCUAGAUAUUCUCAUAACUAUGCUCAAUUCUGUCAAUUGCUCAACAAUAAUUUGUUCACCCACCGUAGAAUAUUUAUGCUCUCGAGAGAAGCCACUAGUGAAACCUAUGGCCCCGGGUCUAUCUUUAUCAUAUUAAUCUCCUACUACUUAGUUAUUUCCUUUGCUUUUUACUUUGCCUUUAUUUUACUUUGCAUCUUUAUCACAAAAAUACGAAAAAAAUUAUCUUUAUCAUAUCUAUCAAAUCUCACUCUCGUAAGUGGCCGUGUAGGAAUUGACAACCCCUAUUCGCGUUGGUUGCGAGGAUUUAUUUGUUUUGUGCAGGUACGAGGGACUCGCGCGUAGCCUCCUACUGGAUUGAUACCUUGGUUCUCAAAACCUGAGGGAAAUACUUACGCUACUUUGCUGCAUCAUCCCUUCCUCUUCGGGGAAAACCAAGGCAGUGCUCAAGAGGUAGCAAGGGUUCCUUUUUGUCGACGAUCCGAUGUUUCAACCCUGUUUUCCAGGUGGCCAACGCGUCGCUAAACUUGGUGACGGCGUGUUUGUUUAUCUUCUUCAUUGCCAGGUCCUUAUCUGGAUCUUUAUUAUCCUUUUCACUGCGGUCUGGGAACAAGAUUAUCUGGUGCAGUUUCUUAAGGAGGGAGGGCCUCAUAUUAUCUAUCUUCUGUAGUUUCCCAUCGUUGAUCGUGGCAGUUGUCCGUACGAUGCAACCUAUUUGAUUGCCGUAGCACGAUCGCGCUUCCUCGGGCGCUAUUGUCUCAAAAAUACCGCCGUCCAUCUCCGUGACCGCCAGUCUACUACUCAUGAGCUGGUUUGGGCGCUGUGGCCUCUUUGCUUUCGGUUCUAGACCAGCUCCGCUAGUCUCGGCGCCUGUCUCAGUUUCAUCAUCGGUCCGCAUGUCGGUAUCAGUCCCCGAUGCGACACCACAGUUGCUGCAACAUGGGUAAGGGAGACCACGUCAGUGGUGGGGGGUCUGAAAAUCAGAACACACUUUCGCGCGUCGCGGGCCGCCUCUCAGACAGCUACUGGGGAGGCGGUGGAGUACCUGGGUGCGCGGCGAAUCCCCGGGAACUCGGUGACCAACUUCCUUCCCGUGUGGCGCAUGGAGACGACGGCGACCCCGGCGAAGAGCAGCUUAGCCGCGAGCUGCACAGCCUCGUCCACCUCCUAAGUUGGGACCUCCGCGCGAGCGUUGCGGGGCCGCCACUCGGAUGGCUUCUGGAAGGCGGUUGUACAUGGGCACAUGGUGAAUCCCGGCGAGAGCUGGCCAUUGGCGCGCGCAAGUAGACGACGAUGUCCUCGAAGAAGAGCAGCCCGGCCAGCUCGCCUCACUAUCCUUUGAUUAGAAAUGAAAGAUUGGGAAGAAGCAGACUUGAGCCUGCAGGGAAAGGAUAAGGUGACGAUGCAGUCUCCACUCGUUCGGGGCGACACUCGUACUGAAUGUAUGAGAAACGUGACGUGGCAGAGACCCCAAGAUACUCCCUCCAUUUAUUUUUAGUCUGCAUAUAAAGUUUGGUCAAAGUCAAGAUUUGUAAAUUUUAACUAACUUUAUAAUAAAAAAAUAUCAACAUUCACAAUAUGAAAUCAAUAUUACCAGAUGCGUCAUGAAAUGUAUUUCCAUACUAUAUAGUUUUGGUAUUGUAGAUGUUCAUAUUUUUUUAUAUAUAUGGGAAGUAGAGGCACUCUUCUAUAUAAUGAAGUUUAUAAUAUAUGUGCUUAUAUUGUACUAUAAUUGUUUGAAUAACUUAGCAUAUAUUCAGAUGUAUGAUAUCUGUAAUUUAAACGCUUGAAUUUUACAUAUGAAUAUUUAUUAAUAAAUAUGUACCCCUAUAAUAGCUAGGCCGUGCAGUUGCACGGGUAGAUGACUAGUGAUUACAAUCUUGCUUGUGUGCAAGUCAAGCUUAUCUAGUUUACACGUAACAACUUAUAGAACAUUACAAAAUUUAUGCUUGCUAAUAACUUCUAGAACACUACAACACUUGACAUGUAAAAGGAAUUUGAUGAGUCAUGGCCUACUAAAGCAAGUUACAUUACUAGUCUUAUCUAUCUUAACAGACCACACAAGAUUACAAACUAUGUACCGUGACAGCCAUGCUUAUCUAGUUUAUGCGUAACAAUUUGCAGAAAAUUACAAACUUAGUUUCAGAAAGAUAGGCAAUCUAGAUUAGUGUUUGAGCUGUAAAGUGAAUAAGAUGAGUCAUGCAUGUCAUCACACCUUUUUGGUGGUGGAAUGAUAGUGCAACAACAAGGAACUUUAAUGACCAGUCCAAGAAUACACUUGUAAGUAGUGCCACCAAACAGAACAUACCAAAUGAUGAUUUUGAGAAGCAUCCAAGCACUUUCCACACAAACAAAUGCCAAUUGUGAAAGAGAUCAUUCCAUGGCAGCUAUAAAUAGCCCCAUAGCAUGACGAUCAUCCUUCCUCAUCCAUCAUUCUCAUAAGUAGAGCACAUCAUUUAAGCCAAGCAAGUUGUGGUCAAUACAAAUCCACCAUGAAGACCUUUCUCAUCCUUGCCCUCCUUGCUAUCGUGGCGACCACCGCCACAACUGCAGUUAGAGUUCCAGUGCCACAAUUGCAGCCACAAAAUCCAUCUCAGCAACAGCCACAGGAGCAAGUUCCAGUGGUACAACAACAACAAUUUCUAGGGCAGCAACAACCAUUUCCACCACAACAACCAUAUCCACAGCCGCAACCAUUUCCAUCACAACAACCAUAUCUGCAGCUGCAACCAUUUCCGCAGCCGCAACUACCAUAUUCGCAGCCACAACCAUUUCAACCACAACAACCAUAUCCACAACCGCAACCACAGUAUUCGCAACCACAACAACCAAUUUCACAGCAGCAGCAGCAGCAGCAGCAGCAGCAACAACAACAACAACAACAACAAC
rnacentral:lncRNA from 1 species